rnacentral:lncRNA from 1 species
UUUUUAUUUCCUCUGCAGUCUGCACCAGUACGAGAGCUGAGUUUGGCAGUCUGCAGCGGACCAGAAGCCUACGAUUUUCACCAACUUUGACUACUAAUUUUCACUUUGGUUAAAUUUGAAGUCCAUCCAGCUUUUGUCUUCAACCUAGAAGUCCUACUGUCCUAGCUAGCAAGCUUGGACCCUUUCUCGGUUUCUCCAUGCAACGAUUGUGAUGCCUGUCAAGACUAGGGAUUUCUGGGUUUAACAUUACGCUAUUGAGGUAUAUAUGACCAUUAUCAAUCUAAGUAAAAUGAUAUUCAAGUAAUAUAUCAAUACACAAAAUCACCUGUGGUACGGUUGUAGACUUGUAGUGCAACAUAUCUAUAUAUAUGGUUAAUUUGUCCCUCUAUCGAACCCAAUUAUAUAUAUACACAGAACUAACGUACGUGGGGAUUGACUAAGAUCAACAAUCCUUCAGGUAUUCUCACACUGAAAUUAGAAGGAAAAGAAAGACAGAGCUACAAACUUCUUCGUGGGGAUGUUGAUUGGGUUGUCCAGAUCAGAACUGUCAUCUAUGUUUGUAGAAUUGCGCGACUAAAAUCAUGGACAACGGUAGAUGACCAACACCGAAGGUAUUAUUUCAACGUGCUCAAUAUAGAUUUGCCAUAUAUAUAUGUGUGUUGAACCUGUUAUGCUUACAAUUCUAAGAUUGAAGCAUAUAUGACUGGGUAUUUGUUACGUUUUAUAUGAGUUGAAACUUGAAAUCAAUCAGAGUGGAACGUAUUAUACGUACACAUCAUCCAUUAUUCUUCAUGUUUAAUGAGAUGUAGUUUGCAGUUUAGGGACUUUUACAGUUUACAAUGUUUGUGGAAUUAAUGAUCAUUUUCGAAAUAUAUGUGGAAUUAGUAGUUUAGUACUACGCUAAAUAUCUGAAAAUUGGAAAAUGACCCAGUGGCAUGCUUCAUGUAUCUCUUCUGACUUCUGUUAUGAGUUCGUAUAAUAUAAUUUUACACAUUUUUCUUUUACGCUGAAAGUUCUGGCAACACAAGUAUUAGUGAUCGAUACCUCUUCUUCCUCAAAGUUGAACCGAAUACGUAUGAUAAAGUCUAUAUAUGAACCUAAUCGAAAAAAAGUCUAUACCUAUCUGUAUAUAUUAAGCGAUCGAAGCGGGGGGAUUACUGUUCACGGAACAGUACCCAACCCUUAUGAGUCAUGCCCCUCUAUUUGCAUCGUUAUUUCAGUUCUGUCCUUCUGUGUUGUCGUUCUCUACCGCUGCCACCUGUUUCGGUUUAAUCCUUCUGUUUUGUUUUUCACUGAGAGACACAGAGAAAGAAGAGGAAGAAGAGUAAGACAAUAGACAUCAGUGCCACCCUCUUUCAAUUCAUAAUUCCAAUUGUUGUAUUGUCAGCUUAAUAAAUUUGGAUUAUACAAAUAUGUACUGUUGCAUCAAUGGAAAUCAGUAUCAAUGAAGUAUGUAGAGUAUACUGUUGCAUCAAUAUUAUCUGACCAUUUCAAUUAAUUUGUUUCAGAGGUUUGAACUUUUUUGAAUAAUUGCUGAACUAGAGAAAUACUACCUAAUUGGGAUUUAGCUGACUCUUGCAAACAACAUGCUCAUGUAUGUGUCUGAGUGAAGUUGUACCUACAUUCUGAGUAGCCAUCAAUUUGUCUUAUGUGAAAGAUCACUAAAGGUGGCGGAAAUACAGUAUGAGGCUGAAAUUUUACUUCUCUUCGUUGUCGGGCGAGCUCGGCUGAUUUGAAAGGUGCACACGGAGCGAAGAGUGCAAAGGAAGAAGGGAAAGAAGUUGAAAUCGGAGGAUCCAGUCGAGUAAUUAGACGUUUCUGAGAGAUUAAGCUCUAGGUAAGAUUGAAUCUUGAGUGCGAUUUGAGUUUUAAAUUUCAGUGCAUGCAAUUCCAGGUGGUGCAUAUGAGUGUGUGUAUGUGGAUGUAUCUGCGGGUGGUUUGGAAUUUAGGUUGGGUUUGUAGGUUAUUGUGUGUGUUGUGUUCCAUUUCUGUGGAUGUUACAUAGCUAAUCUGUUUAGUUGGUUUUCAUGUGUAUAGCUAAUCUGUUUGUGUUUUGUGUGAUUGGGUGUAACUAUUACUGCUACAUACAAUUACUUGCCAAACCUUACUUUAGUUAUGUGAUUUCUAAUGGCAUACUUAUUGAGGAGGGAACCGAUUUUCAUUUGCUGAUGAGAUUUGUGUGUUAUGCACUAUAUGUUGUUUGUGUUGAAAUCAGUGAAUGAAAUUGGUUUUUCGAGUUUUUUUUUGUCAAUGUUUUGGUUAAUAUCGAUGUUUGCAUCCAAUCUACAUGUCUUUUCCUUCUAACUACUCUUUUGUUGAAGACCAAUAAAAGCACGUAAUGAGAAAGCAAUAUUGAGAGGGGAUUUGCUCACUUAUCAUCACUCGGUCAUCAAUACAGCUGUAGCUACUGUGAUGAAAUUUGCUAUGAUGAAUCAAAUUAAAACUUUGUCAACAUAGUUUUGACGAAUCCUCUGGACUACUCUUUACCUACUUUUAUUUGUCUUAGACCUUUGUGUUUCUGGGUUUUGAUUAAGGACUUGAACUCUACUACCAAUAGUUGAUUGUUUGAUUUUUGUUUCAAACGAUAAGUUUUUGAAUGAAAGUCCUUUUGCACGCGCGAAGCGCAGGCAUCAAGGCUAGUAAUAGAUUAAGGUGUGCGAUCUUGACCAAACUAUUGCAUCUUCAACUGCUUGCAUCAAACAGAUUCUAUAUGCAUCCAAGGCUCUCAUAAGCGACAACCAUAUCUAUUAUCUAUCGCUCAUGAGCUGAUCAGUUCUAUUCAGCAGUUUGAAAGCUGACUGAAUAUAGGAAUAUUUCCAAACCAAACUUAAAAAUUAUUGGGUCAGGUACAGUGGCCGGACGCAGAGAGAUAUGUAAGUGGGGGCAAAAAUAUUGAGGAAGUAAGGAACCUCUAGAGACAGCUCAUUGUCUAUUUCUUCUUCCUCUCAGAUCUCCAAUUUUUAAUCACAGAUCUUGGUAAGCCACAUAUUUUGAAUCAUUCCGGUAACAACAAGACACAAUUUUGGGACCUAAACUUUGUUUAAUUAAUGUGAGGUGGGAGAUUCUUACACUUAUAUUUAUGUGUCAAUAUUUUGACUCAUGACUGGGGCAGAUUUGACUAAAUGCUGGGCAUACAUAUGAAGCUGCUGGCCAAAAAAAAAGUUCACUCACUCGCCCCCUCUGCGUCCGCCAUUGGUCAGGUACGCAAUACUAUUUCGAUAUAUAAUACUUAUUCGCAUGUAAUGUUUAGGAUUAGUGUCCAAAAUAAUCACGUAACGCAUGCAUUUGGAUUUUACCAUUUCUACGUAUGAUGAACCGAUCGAAGAAAUUGUCAAAAAUAUAACCUUUCAACUCCGUAAAACUUUAGAGACAUGACCAGAGGAAAAACGUAGCAGCUUAUCUAUAGUGGCUAUAUAAUGUCCACCUUCUCCAUGCAUCAGUACCCACAAACCUACUAGCCAAGCCAUAAGAAUCGAAAGUAAAGUAGAUCCAUCAAUUUAAGAAGCUUGUUAGCUCAAUGGAGAAAUCUCAAUCUCACGUAGUGAUCUUUCCAUUUCCACUACAAGGCCACAUCAAACCAUUGCUAUGCUUAGCAGAGCUUCUCUGCCAUGCAGGCCUUCAUGUCACCUUUGUCAACACCCGCCACAACCACAACCGCUUAGCCAACCUCCCUGCCCUCUCCGCCCGCUUCCCCACCCUCAAUUUCGAGUCCAUCUCGGACGGUCUCCCCCUUGAGCACCCGCGUACUUUGGGCAGCGAGUUGUUGAUCGCAUUGAAGACGUCGAUUAAGCCUCAUUUCAAGGAGCUACUCCAGUCACCCCUUAAGGCUAACGGUGUUGCGCUACCGGCGCCGACAUGUAUUAUUACAGAUGGACUUGUGACUUUUGCCUUUGAUGUUGCAGAGGAGUUGGGGUUACCUAUAUUUAGUUAUAAUGUUCCAUGUACUCGUUACAUGUGGACUUGUCUUUGUCUCCCCAAUCUCAUAGAACAAGGCCAGCUUCCUUUCCCAGGUGACUAACGAUCUUCUAGUUUAUUUGAAUCCGAUCGAACCUAUGCUUGCAUACAUGAACUGCAUCUGAUCUAUAUAUUCGAGCCAGAUGAUUUUGGAUACAAUAGUAAUUAGUUUACUCACUUGAUUGAGUUUUAAACAUAUCGUAUAAUAUCUUAUGAACAGAUGACGACAUGAAUGUGGAAAUUACCGGCGUCCCGGGAAUGGAAGGCCUUCUGCGACGUGUAGAUUUACCUGGUUUUUGCAGAGUAAAACAGUCGAACCAUCCUGGCCUUCAAUUUGCCAUCCACGAAACUCAGACACAAAAGCGAGCUUCGACUCUAAUCCUCGACACCAUUUACGAGCUUGACGCUCCAUGUCUGUCUCAUAUGGCCAACAUGUUCCCUAAAAUCUACACUCUCGGCCCUCUCCACUCUCUCCUACAUUCUCAAAUCGGCGACGUCUCACGAUCCUUAGCAUCCCACGGCGGUCUUUGGAAGGGGGAUCCGAAUUGCAUGACAUGGCUCGACUCUCAGCCAACCAAAUCGGUUCUCUAUGUCAGCUUUGGAACCCUAGUGACCUUGACGGGCACCCAAAUCAUAGAGUUCUGGUAUGGUUUGAUCAACAGUGGGCAUCCAUUCCUGUGGGUUAUACGGUCCGAUAUCACUUCGGGUUUAGGUGGAGACCCGAUUCCUAUGGAGCUUGAAAUAGGGACCAAAGAGAGAGGGUACAUAGUGAACUGGGUCUCACAAGAGGAAGUCUUGGCUCACAAGUCAGUGGGAGGGUUCUUGACACAUAGCGGAUGGAACUCGACCCUAGAGAGCAUUGUAGCAGGAAUUCCGAUGAUUUGUUGGCCUAAUUUAGGGGAUCAUUACAUCAUUAGCAGAACAGUGAGUGAGAAGUGGAAGAUUGGUCUUCAACUAAAAGAAAACUGUGACAGAAAGGAGAUUGAAACCAUGAUAAGAAUGUUGAUGGAGUUUAAAAGGGGAGAGAUCCAGAGCUCAAUGGAUGUAAUUUCAAAAGUGGCUCGUGAUAGUGUUGUGAAAGGCGGAUCUUCAAACCAUAAUUUGGAGAUGCUAAUUCAAGACAUUAGGAAUAUGCAUACAAGACCACAGCAGUGAGCGGGUUAGGGUUAAGCUGGUUCCACGUUAUUCAAUCCUUAUUGGGUAAUUCUAAAUUGGGUUUUAUUCAUUGUAUUAAUUUGUCCCUUGUUAAUUUUGUACUUUUGGGGAAAUUAUUAUUUGUAUCCGAAACAUCCACGUGUCUUAUGUUUCUUUUUAAUCUUAUUGGUCUAAAUGUUUUAUCUUUAUUUUUUAUUUGUGUAUUUAAUUACUUUUAUUUAUUUUUUUCCACCCCCUGCUGGUUCCCACAUGAAUAUGAGUUAUAUGAUUGGUCAUGUACAUGGAAUAAUUACUCUUGUUUCUGAUUGAUGUAUUUAAUUACUUUUUUUUCCCACCCCUGCUAGUCUCCACAUGAAUAUGAGUUAUAUGAUUGGCCGGGUACACCACAUGGCAGUGUCACGUGGUGUUCCAGGUACAAGGAAUAAUUACUCUUAAUUUUGUAUGGUUAGCCAAACACAUGACUAGUGAAUCACUGUACCAUUUGUUAAUUUGUAAUUAUUUUGUUUACUGGUUGUAAUUAUCAUCAGAAACUGGGAUCUAUCGACCUUCCACUAUUUCUAUCCGGGGAAUCAUCUUUUUAAAAAUUUAACUAAAGCUCACCGGUUGUCAAUCUAUUUGGGAGAGCCAUGCAUAUAUAUCAUUUAAUGAAAUACUCUAAUUGAACGGUGUGUGUCUAUAUAUAUAUAUAUAUAUAUAUAUAUAUAUAUAUAUAUAUAUUGGUGUCAAUAUCGGUGCUAUUCGUGUGUUUCAAUUUGGUGUCAUUCCCCCAACAAUUGUUUGCGCCUUUGGAUUUCCAUCCACCACUUCUCGAUCUCCUGUCGUCUGUCGACCUCCAUUGUCACUGAGCUAACCUACCACAAUAUAUAGCUGGUUUUCUGAUAAAGUGAUGGAGCUAAUCAAGCAUAUACCGUAUUAAUUGCUCCUAGCUGGUAGAUUUUAUUUGUUUGUCUAUCAUCCUACCGAUGUAUAAAUGUCUAUCAUCUAGCAUAUAUAAUGUGUACUCUGAAUUAUUUAGGAUCGAUGGGGCGGUGGCAAACCUAAGACCUUGAGGUGUUGAAUUAAUUGUUGAAAGCAUGGAUGCUUAAUUACCUUAUAGAAAACAGUUGUUUGUAAUACUCUGUAACGUACAAUACAUGAAGGUUUAUGAAAUGAGAUUCCAAUUUUAAUUAACGGCUAACGUCUAGAGCUUUUAUCGUACAAGAUAAAUGAGAUAACUUUUUACAUGGAUGCACACGGGUAGCUGGUUUGGAUUUUAUAAUAAUAGUUUAUUUGUAAUUUGAAUAUUUGAUCAACAGAAUGAGUGAAAUAUAAUACAGUCGAUCUCUGAAAAUUUAGUUGAAUCUCAAGAAAUUAAUUUCCAACAAGUAAGAACUAUGUGACGAGCAAGCUAGUAAUAUUCAGCAUUUGCAUAGCGCGCGCAUAUAUAUAGCAAAUUCCAAACUCAUGCAAUUUCUUUUGGGUUUUUUCCUACAACAAGUGAACAAACCACCCGACCCUGACCAGCCUAAGAGCGCAUCAGCAAGGCAUUUGGCUAAUGAAAAAAAGAUCGAUAUAUACACUUGACUUACAUUCAUCUUGAUCUUAGGUGAUUAAUUCAGUGAAAAAGGGAUAACUAAGAAAUUAAAAUUGAUGGAGAUCGAGUGCAUGUUGAUACCUCAUGCAUUUUCCUUGGGGUAAAUUUCUUAUUCACCGAACCACCCGAUCGACUGUACCAGUUGUACUCUGAAAGAUGAUCAGUCUGCAUUCUGCAGUGUACUAGACCAUUUGGAUUUUGCUUCAUGUCCGCGCAUGUUUGAAACUUUGAAUGUUAUCUACUUUUCGAUUUUGUUUCAACUUUGAAUUCCCUCUAUCUCCUUCUACUGCAAAACAUAUCUUGUUCCAAAUCUUCAACUGUAAUAUUAGAUCAUUAAGCUAGGAUAUCUGUGCCGGCGCUUCCACCAUCGAUUAGGGUUUAGGCAGCUGCUGGCUACUUAGCACAGAAGGCACGUAUAUAUUUUGUGCGAAGCACGCAUGUAAGACAUAGCUAACCGAGGAUGUCUUAUGAAGGCCAAUGGAGAAAAGGAAAAAAGGGAGAAAUUAUUCCGAUUUGAAAGUGUUCACUGUUAGAACCAAUCCAAUAUCCGUUCAAAACAGUAUAUAUAUAUAUAUAUAUAUAUAANNNNNNNNNNNNNNNNNNNNNNNNNNNNNNNNNNNNNNNNNNNNNNNNNNNNNNNNNNNNNNNNNNNNNNNNNNNNNNNNNNNNNNNNNNNNNNNNNNNNNNNNNNNNNNNNNNNNNNNNNNNNNNNNNNNNNNNNNNNNNNNNNNNNNNNNNNNNNNNNNNNNNNNNNNNNNNNNNNNNNNNNNNNNNNNNNNNNNNNNNNNNNNNNNNNNNNNNNNNNNNNNNNNNNNNNNNNNNNNNNNNNNNNNNNNNNNNNNNNNNNNNNNNNNNNNNNNNNNNNNNNNNNNNNNNNNNNNNNNNNNNNNNNNNNNNNNNNNNNNNNNNNNNNNNNNNNNNNNNNNNNNNNNNNNNNNNNNNNNNNNNNNNNNNNNNNNNNNNNNNNNNNNNNNNNNNNNNNNNNNNNNNNNNNNNNNNNNNNNNNNNNNNNNNNNNNNNNNNNNNNNNNNNNNNNNNNNNNNNNNNNNNNNNNNNNNNNNNNNNNNNNNNNNNNNNNNNNNNNNNNNNNNNNNNNNNNNNNNNNNNNNNNNNNNNNNNNNNNNNNNNNNNNNNNNNNNNNNNNNNNNNNNNNNNNNNNNNNNNNNNNNNNNNNNNNNNNNNNNNNNNNNNNNNNNNNNNNNNNNNNNNNNNNNNNNNNNNNNNNNNNNNNNNNNNNNNNNNNNNNNNNNNNNNNNNNNNNNNNNNNNNNNNNNNNNNNNNNNNNNNNNNNNNNNNNNNNNNNNNNNNNNNNNNNNNNNNNNNNNNNNNNNNNNNNNNNNNNNNNNNNNNNNNNNNNNNNNNNNNNNNNNNNNNNNNNNNNNNNNNNNNNNNNNNNNNNNNNNNNNNNNNNNNNNNNNNNNNNNNNNNNNNNNNNNNNNNNNNNNNNNNNNNNNNNNNNNNNNNNNNNNNNNNNNNNNNNNNNNNNNNNNNNNNNNNNNNNNNNNNNNNNNNNNNNNNNNNNNNNNNNNNNNNNNNNNNNNNNNNNNNNNNNNNNNNNNNNNNNNNNNNNNNNNNNNNNNNNNNNNNNNNNNNNNNNNNNNNNNNNNNNNNNNNNNNNNNNNNNNNNNNNNNNNNNNNNNNNNNNNNNNNNNNNNNNNNNNNNNNNNNNNNNNNNNNNNNNNNNNNNNNNNNNNNNNNNNNNNNNNNNNNNNNNNNNNNNNNNNNNNNNNNNNNNNNNNNNNNNNNNNNNNNNNNNNNNNNNNNNNNNNNNNNNNNNNNNNNNNNNNNNNNNNNNNNNNNNNNNNNNNNNNNNNNNNNNNNNNNNNNNNNNNNNNNNNNNNNNNNNNNNNNNUAGAGGAUACAACUAUUUGGUUCAAAUUCUUGUGCAAGAACUUGACCCUGGCGAAUUUACUUUAUGCUUAAAAAAAAUAGUUUUUGGGGAGGAAGAAGAAGAAUGAGUCGAUGAUAAAAACGUACAACGACAGAAGUCGUCCUUAUAUAAAAGUCAAUUCGAACAGGUAUAACUGUUCGGACAGACACAACUGCUCAGACAGUUGUAACUGUUCGGAUAAUUAUGUCUUUUGAUAUUUAUCCGAAUUAAUAAUUAAAUUAAAUAAUAUUAAUUUCUAAAAAUUAAAUUCGGAUUUAAUCAACAUAUUAAAUAUAUAUAUAUUAUUUAUUUCUAUUAAAAAACCUAAUAGAAAGCCCACCAAACUCAUAUUAGGCCUAUCAUCCAUUUAAUAAGUCACAUGGGUGUUUCCAUAUAAAAACUCACACAUUUAAUUCUUUGUCUACAAAAGCUGGACUACACACUUUGUACCGUACCUCAUACGGAUCCGUUAACGGAAGGGCAGUUACGUAAUUUCUGGUCGUUCACGGUAACUGCAUGAUUUCACUGCUGUACUGAGGGAUAGAAAAGAGAUUUCGCCCGAGAUCGAUCCCCCACGCGUCUCAACCCUUCGUCAACUAUUUCGAUACAUUCGAUAAGGCAGAGAUAUUGAAUCUCGAACUUAUUCGAAGAGAGUCCGGAUCUGGAAUCGGACACCCAGAGAGAAUGAUUAGCGACGAAGCUCAUUGCGGCGAGGUCAGAGUCGAAUCUAAUCUGGUAGCCAUCGCCAAAAACCCAAUACAAUCCGCCUCAGGUUCCUUCUCUUUCUAAAUUGGUAUUGCGAACCUUGCUUUUCUUUGCUUUGUUUGUCAUUUUGCAUCUUAGAUUGCAUAUAUGCCCCACUAAUUCUACAUUUGGAACCCUGGUCCUCGAUAAACAUAUCAUCUUGGAUUGCUACUUUUGUUUAUCUAUUGUUCUUUUGAUUUGAUUUUAAUGCCAUUUGAUCUUGGAUGCUGCAACUGGAUGGUAAGUUGCUAACUUAUUGAUUGAACUUAAUGAAAUUCUCAUUAUAUAUUAAUCUUCAAUGUUUAGGGUUCAUAUUUUAUUCUUGCAGAGUUGUAGAUUAAUUGAACUGAUUAUGCUGGGUUCUUAUGAUAAUGUUUAUUGUUUUGCUCAACAGGCAGUAGGUAGACUGAACUGAUGAGGAAUGUUUCAGCUGAAUAGGAAGAUUGCAUUGUUGAUGAUGUUGGAAUCUGCUGCAGAUAUCAUGCUAUAUGCACCUUGUGGGAUCUUAUUGAUAAUGCUUCAAUCUAUUCCAUAUUGUACAACAUUAAGCAAUGACUCUGUAGGUCAAGUGAAAGGUAUAUAUAUACUCACUUGGAAAUCAAAAAUGGUUACACUUACAUGGAUCUGUUAUUAGACUAUGCUCCUUCACAUUGGGUGCAUAUGCAUGUCCCAAUUAUCUGAAUGUGAGGACCCCAUUAAUCCUUCGGUUAACUUGCUUCCCUAAGGAAAUAGGUUAGGUAGUGAAAAAGGGUAUAGAUUAUAGGUACCAGCAGUGCUCCAAGAGUGUUUCAGCACCUGCAAAUGAAUAAUGAACCAAAUUGACUAGUGAUAUUUCUAGAAACCUGAUAUUUAAACAAGUUUGUAUGUCAGAUCCCUUCAAAUUACGUGAUAUUUAAACAAGUUUGUAUGUCAAAUUACCUGAUAUUAUGGAAAAGAACAAAUUCAGGUUCCUGGAGUAAGGGUAGUACAAAGAUCGCGGAGGCUUUUUUUCUUUAAUUUUUGGAAUAGGAAGAUCAUUUCUCUUUCAUAACGUUCUUGUUGUCUUGUUAGAUUCACUAAAGUUUGAUAGGGGUCUCUUGUGUUUGGUGUGCUGUACGUGAGAAACAUAAUACAAUUUGUAUUUGGAAGGAAGGUGUUUGGGGAUUUUGGUGCAGGGUAAAUUUUGUAGAAUUUCCAGAGUCACUGCCAUAUGUGCAUUUACAGCUGGGGCUAUGCUUCUCUUUAAUAUGGUAUCUUACAUUUGCCGUGGUUGCUUACGAAUGAAAGAUGGGAUGAAUCAAACUAUUCUUUUCUUAGUUUAUGGUAAAAUUCUAGUCUCUGUCGUUUGUUUCUUCAUUAAAAUGUUGACAUUGAAAAUCAGAUCCAGUUCAUCUCACUUCAUUGUAUUGUUUUCAUUCAGGGCUAUAUGAUUAUCUUUGGAUUAAACGCUCUUUAAUGACAAACAUUACAGAGUGAUGGCUCUGUAACUGGAACUUGGAACUUCACCAAUGCCAAAUAUAUCAUUGCUACACUGUCAAAAACAAGUAUUUUACAGCUGGAUGAGACCUUGGCAUGAACAUAUAUUUCACUGUUAGUCUUGUUUAAAACUUUUCUGAUCGUUUUGAUUCUUGUCAUGGAUUUUUUUGAGCUACAUGAAUGUUACUCAGGGAAUGAGCUAAAUGAAUGAUGCUUAUUAAAAAGAUAUUGGAUCCAGCGUAUUGUAAAUACAUGUAGCAGCCUUCAAAACAUCCCAAGGACCUCAGCUGCCACUUCAGCAAGGGCAUGGAAUUUGGAACCAGGUGGGUGUUUAUAACAGUGGUCAUCAUCUGCCAUGAACGCAGUCGUGCUUAUUUCUGAUAACUUUUCUUAACAAUUGGUCACCAUCUGUGUCUGAUAUCUGUGGUUCAAUUUCCAAAGCUGAAUUAUACUGAUAUGAAUCUUACAACAUGUAUUCGGAUCAGCUUGGUACAUCAGUAGUAUGACACCAAAACAUAUUGCGAACAGACAUUGAUGAAUGGAAACUACAGCUUACUCUACAUUACUAACUGGUGUUCCCAAUCCAGAUUUCUACAGGUGGUUGAUUACAUCAUGAUCCUUACUCAACAUCUCAUUUAAAGGAUUAAUGUAUAAUUCUUUUGUAUUCUCAUUGCGUUCUUUAACUCUGGGUUUUGUAACCAAUUUUUUUAUAAAUCUAUAAUAGACAUGAAUCUCCAGCUUUAGCAUCUCAUAUAAAUUACGUACAAUUUCCAGCUUUUCACAAUCAAAGCAAUUCAUACUAUUUUGACAGAGAUCAUCAAUCAUGGCUUCCUUGAUAGUUAAAGUGCUGACCCUUAAUUCUGUGGUGCCUUGGACGAGGUUAGCAUGUAACAAAUGCAUACAUCACUAGUUUAGCAGACGAAGCAUUACAACGUCGAGGACUUGGAUUUAUAGUUUUAUACACCUAGUCAUCGAGGCUUGAUGUAUAAAUCUUUUUAAUCUCCUAAUACUUAAAUUAAAACAGCAUUUCAAUGUCAAAAUCUUUGGAUAGCCGUAAGUUUAUUACAAGAAGAAUGACCAAUUCAAAUGGGAUACACUACUGUGAAAAUUACUGGUAUUCAACUUUAUUCGGCAUGACAAUGCAGCAACCCAAAACCACAAUUACGUAUCCUUCUGAAUAGUAAAUAAAACCAUAAUAUGCACAGAAUCUCUCAUAUCAGUUUUAUAGUAACAUGCCAAAUAUCAGGCUCUUAGUGAAAUACCACCAGAGUUUUACAAAAGGAUGGUUAAAUGAUUUGCAUUAUGUCAAGACACAACUACAUAAGCAAAAAGUUAUCAAUAAUUCAUCAAAGUACUGUGCUAGGUCAUCUAAAACUCCCCAGUCCCCAAAGGCUUCUGUGCUAUGUCCUCACCAAGCCUUCAAAAACAAAAACCACCCUGAUUGUGGCUGUAACCUUAGACAGCAACAUACCUUCCAAUCAAAGAUGAAUUCAAGAAACAUAAAGAAUCCCAAAAGCUGACAAGAAAUUUAAUUCACCCUAUUCUCGUCCACCACUACGUACACCUUUAUAUUCUUCAACAAUCCGUAUACUUCUUUCUAUCAAAAUGAAUGACAGCGAAAACCGCAAGCCAAGGAACUUAAUUUGGCUUUCUUUCCUUUGCCAGAACCAAGAUACCGUGAGCAUAGAGCAGGACCUUCCAAUUCUCCUUGAAGAACUGUCUCCCACAAAUGUAAAGUAGCUUCACAUCUAGUUUUUGGUUUCAUGCAUUUCCUGCUGUAGUUCAUCAGCAGAGGUAUUAAAAUGGUGAAGCUAGUCUAUUCAAUCACUAUUUAUGACAGAGUAUCACAAGUCCAUGAGAUUUUUGGUGCCUAAGAAGACGAUGAAGACUUGAAAACACAAAUUAGUGCUUGUAUAUGACCAAAAAAUGCCAAGAAUAACAUUAUUUUGUUGCUUCUUGUGUCAUAGAAACACCUUGCUCUUCAGUCCUCAGUAUUUUGUGUCUGGAAAACAUUCAUUUAUGUCAAGAAUAACAAGAUCUAUGGGGCUAUUCUACUCAUGAAACAUGCAUAAUCUCUGACUUUCAUAUAAAGGAUGGAUGAUGCAAGUAAUCAAAAAAAUCACAAAAUUAUCAGUCACACAAAUGAGAAGGAUAUUGCUUCGGCCUGGAUCGGUUAAUUUUUAUCGCAUAGCAAAUUUAUGUAAAUUCCAAUAGCAUAUUGUAGACCAUAAUCAUAUAUGCAAAAGAAUCGCAAGCAGAAAGUCUAAAACUUGAAAUCAAGCAGCUAAUAUCAUGUGUAUAAAUUCCUCAUCUGAUACUCCUCCAAGUACACACCACAUGUUACACAGCUCUUCAAAUUCCAAUUUCUCUAAUCCCUAUAUGGCUACCGUCGCUAAAGAAUUUACAGUUUACCUAAACCACAUAUGCCUAUGCUAAACUAAAUGACACCAUAUGCACAACUCUGUUAGCAGAGUCGACCAUCUAUAUCAUUGUAAAAGGUAGAAGAAAAAAGAUUGACAAACACAAACCCAACUAUCAGUGUCUUCCAUAUUUUUUUUUAUAAGCUACAGCUUACAAGCUGAAUAAAAUGAUCUAAAUUUCAAGACCAAAUGACUAGAUAGUUUACAUAUGUUUGAUCUAGCUGUGGCAACUACAAAUUCAUUGAAUCAAAUUUGGAUACAGCACCACAAAGAAUACAACGAUAGAAAGAACUUAUAAGAGUUAAGACAUAUGGUAGCUAUUAGAUAAAGAUCAUACAGAACAAAGCCAGAGAAAAGUACUAUAAUGGCUUGCCAUUGAACCUAUCACUCUUGUGGGAAGAAGAAAUCAAAUCCUUUUUCAUUAUUGUAAACAAGAAAACAAAAGAGAAACAGAGGAAGGCAUUUGAUGUGCAAGACCUUAGAUUGAUAUCAGAUAGAGAUAAAGAACAGUGUAAAACAGAGAUUGCUCUGGAUUAAUGCUAAUGACUUAAUCAGAACAGUGUAAACAACAAUUCAGUUCCAAGGGGAAGGGACAGUUGCGGCAUCAAGGCAGAUAAUAAAAUGACACCAAGCACAAAUGAAUUUUAUGUGUAAUAAAUUCAACUGAAGUGUUGAAAACCCAAAUGACAGCAAAGCAUCACAAUAAUUUUCGAUUGAUACUGGAACAAGACAAUUGCAUUAGUUUUGCUCUAAUUGAAGAUGUGCAAAAUUCUAGUUACUAUGAUCAUGGGUGAAAAUGAUAAUCAUGCGUACAAGCUAUGGUCCAACGCCUAAACAAUACAGAGCCCUCACCAGCUAAAUCUUUUCUGACUGUUGCCCAUGAAUAAAACUAGAACCAUUGAAAUGUAGCUACCAAUGGAAAUGGAUCAACUGAGAUCUCGUUAUCUCAGCAAACUUCAUGGGAUUAACAUCUGGAUAGGCAGUUUGUUAUUUCACCCGUCUUAGUGGACUUACAUCUACGAGUCUAGAUCAAGGAGUUUACAUCACAACUAUUACCAUAUACUCUCGGGUUCAAUUCUCUCUAAACUAAAAAUGGAACCUAUACGAUUAAUGUGAACUAUCAAAUAAUGUACUAAGCUACGUAUACAUGUUAUGGUAUAGAGUCCAGACUAUUUAAUAUGUCUACACUCUAGAGCAAGAUUACAAUGUACCUUUUUCACUGUCGUAGACACCUGAGUCGCUGCCAUGUUUGGCUUUGUGAAUGUUUCUAACUUCAAUCGGAAACAGCAGAGAAAAUGACUUCCCCUGAACCACAUUCAACAAAAGAACAGACUCAUCAGUGUUGGUGUGAUCGACUCUAGUCUUAUUCUGUACAAAAAUGUAUAUCAAAUAAAUACAUUUGUAUCAUAUACCGGAAUAUUACAUCUCCAAAUCAAUCUUUGCUUCGAGUUUCAACCCAGAAAACACCAUGAAGAUGCUCAGAAAUACACGAGAAAUGUCUUGAUCCUAACAAGAAAUUGCCUUGCAAGUAAAUAAUAGUAUUCAAAGUUUCUACCCAAGAACAAUCCUAUCAACUUUAGAGAAGCAAAAUCCAACUUUGAUUCCUGAAACCAUCUUUGUCUAAUGACUACCACCUAAGCUCAUCCAGUCAACACUUCUCCUCACCCCCCACACACUGACCACCUACACUUAUCCUAAGCCCAGUAUAUCUUUUGUAGCAAGGGGGAACUGUUAUGAAUGUGAAUUCAUGCGAUGAACUGAUAAAGAAUGAAACCAGAUUGUCAAUAAACUAGUUGAUAGUAAACCAGAUCAUAGUAAAAUCACACCAAAAAGUCCACAUUUCAGCUGAAACCAAAUUAAGCAAAAAGGCCAAGAAAAGAUCACUACUUUACCUAAAAUUAGCAGAAGAGAAUACUAUCCAAUCCUCAGUUGCUGGGUUUAUAUAACCAAACAAAGAAAACAAUAGGGUUGAUAUAAAUGUAGGCAAAGCACUACUUCUUUACCUUCAGCCCAGUUUGCACUUUUUGUUUCAGCUAGUUGGUCCACAGCCACAUUACUAGGAGCACAAAGCAAAGCCUGGAGAAAAGGGAAAAUUUAGUGCGCAAGAGAGAGAGACAGAGAGGGAGGGAGAGGGGGUCUAGAUCACAACUGAUAUCAAAUACUCUCGGGUUCGAUUCUCGCUAAACUAAAAAUUCACAUAUGAUAAACUAAGCCACACACAUACACAGAACGCUAUUAAAUCGAAACAAGCUCAGCAAACAUGUGUUCCUGACUCAUGAAUUCGAAGACGGCUGUUGAUCAAAUCUCAAAAACAGGGGACACAAUGCUGUAAGUCAUAUAUUACUUACCUCCGGAUCUGGUUGCAUGCAGUUUCCAGCUUCAACCCAUUCAUCGAUUUCAAGCUCGUGAGCAAAAACGCCUCUUUCGUAUCCGAAAAUGUGCACCGCACUCUACUCCACCUUCAACCCAUUCUUCAGUAAAUCGAUUUCAAAUGUUUUGAACAUCGCCGCUAAUUCUCCCUCUCGAUGGCGGAGACGUGGCAAAUCUCCCACUAGUGUCAUAUUUACCCCCCACUCCCUCUUCUUCUCACCUCACCGGCGAUUCCAUAAAAGCCCUUCGCUUUUAACUAGACGGCGUCGAUGACGACGGGAAUGAGCGUCAUCUGAGAAAUCCCAUCGAUGUCCCUCAAGUUUCGUCUCCACCGAUGAAAAGCCGCCACGUGGUCGGGUCCCUUCAUGACGUACUGUACUACGGCGUAGUCCAGCGCUUUCCUUCUUUGUCAAUGUGGGAUUAAUCCCAGACAGUGUUCCAACAUUCACUUGGUCCAACCUCAUGCAUUUUGUACCAACCUGUUAUGAGAGCAGAUCCAAACUUCUCUGUCCGCAUCUUUGACUGUAAAGAGCUAGCUAGCUCGCUCUUAAUUGCCUCUUUAUAUUCCCCCUUCUCUUUCUUUUCAGACUCAUUCCAUCGAUCACCAAUGUACGCUAAUCGAUCAAUUAGUCACAUACUCAUGAGUCCUAACUAGCUAGCUCCAUCGAUCUAAACCUCUCCAGAGAUUACUCUCUUUUUCUUCAGCUUGAUUGGAACCCAAUUAUCAUAAACCAUUAAGCUAGGCUAUCAAGUUAAUAGAUUUUGAUGUGUUUUCUUCUCUACCCUAUGUCUUUCUUUUUCCAACUACCCCUCUUCCUCCGGAGUCCAGAACUAGGAUCUGGUCCUUCUAUGAAAUACUUGAUACAUACCUGCUUCCUCCUCUCCUAUCUUGAAUUGCUCCUCAGCUCCUACCUUGCAAUGAAACUUUGACCAUUCUGGCCGCGACCAGUGACCGAACCAGGAUUUAUAAUCUGAGAGGUCCGAUAUAUAAACUACUAGUUCGAGAAUAAAUUUGUGAUUUUUAUGUUAACACAACAUAUUAUUAUUAUUUUUAAAAAGCUAAACAACUAUUUACAUAUAUGUGAAGAAAAAAGUUAGUAUAUAAUAGACAAAUUAUUCGUCCAUACAUAGAGCUAUUAACCACAGGUACAACAUACUUUCAAAAAUAUUCCACCAAAGUUUAUUAUUUAUUAAGUUUGUUGUUGUUGUUUACGUACUCAUGUGGCUAAAUCAAGAUUUCCUUCAUAGUAAUUAUGUCGUUAAAAAUAGGUUUCCUUCGUAGUAAGUAGACAGCGAAAUGUUUUGGGGGGGGUUCACUUCAUUAAACUUAUCACUUUCUUUGUUGAUUUCGAGCUGUUAGCUAUCUAAUAUUGGCUAUGGUGGAAUCAUAAGGGGGUCUGAACCCCUUCAGGCCUUCAAAUGGUUCCGCCCCUAGCCGCGACGUAGUAGGUGGUCUUUCUUGUUCUUGUUCGAAAAUCAUUGUUACAUGUAAAAUAUAUAGCUGGCUCUCGGUUCUCAUAUCAAACGACUUCAUAUUUCAUUUCUGGUUUGAUUGCCCAACUUUGUUUAAGUCAUAGUCCAUUGAUGAAUAGCCCUUUGUAGUUUGUAAUUUGGUGUUGUAAAUUUGCAAUGGCUAGUAACAAAUCGUAUAAAGGUGCUUGAUGUUAUGAUCGCAAUUCGGCCGGAUUCUAUUUCAAAUUUUGAGUAUUUUUGUUUAUUAGAUUGUGAUUCAUCCAUAUACUUGAAUUUAUCCAUUGAAUUUAAGAUAUAACGACAGAACAAGUUGGCUGAAUUUGGUCAUUUAUAUAUACACUCCAGCCUUGGCCUGUUAUAAUAGCUUCUUCCCCUCAAGUGAGACGAAUAGCUAGCUAGCUGCUCAAAAAUGAUCGAUACUGUCCUACUUAAAAAGGCAGCAAAUAUAAAAGAAAAAGAAAAUCAUUAAGUUUACGUUCUUGAAUUACUUCUAUAAACAUUACUAAUUGUUGCAUGUCCGUACACGCAAAAGAAGAACCAGCAAUUUUUUGUUUUCUUUUAUUUUUUUGGUUGAAUAUUUUUGUUUAAGAAGAGAAAUAUACUUUGUAAGAUCCAAAUUAAUACAUGAAAAUUGGACAAAUUGUGUAGCCGCUAGCUAAUCCCUCGUAAUCACCUCCAAUUCUCCAAACGUAACGUCGCUUCCUUUCACCUCUUGUUCGUUUCUGUUGAGCCGUGCGAUAUAACUGUCUACAAGAAAGCCUAUCUACGCCCAAACUAAGCUCAACUUUCAAAAGCUCCGCAGAAAUCAAUCACCAUGGAUAUGAACAUGACGAUGAACAAUAUGACGAUGGAUAUGACUAUGCAGAUGAAUUUCUACUGGGGCAGAAACGUCACUAUCCUCUUCUCUAAGUGGCCUGGAAACGACCAACACAACCCAGGCAUGUACAUAUUGGCUCUCUUCUUUGUGUUUGCCAUGGCCUUUGCAAUGGAAGCUUUGUCCGUCUGGCCGACUAUCAAGCCCGGCGGAAGUGCGGUUGCGAUAGGGCUGACUCAGGCUUCUCUUUACGCGAUUCGCGUCAGCUUGGGUUACUUUGUGAUGCUCGCAGUUAUGUCCUACAACAUUGGAAUUUUCAUAGCAGCCGUGGCUGGACACACGGUUGGAUUGUUUGUAGCCAAGACUAGUGCUCUUGCCAUGACCAAGCCUUCAGAGUUCGAACCUUCAACGAGCAUUUGAACAUAGCUAUUUGAUGAGUAGUUAUAGUUUGUGAAUAAAUUAAUUACAUGUUUUAAAGAAAUAAUUUCACAAUUUAAAUCCUUCGUUUUAUUAUGCUUCAAGUAGAGCUGCUACCCUAUAGGUAAUAUCAUGGAAUUAUUAUAGAAAAUUACAUUGUUUCGUUCCUUUAUGUUUAAUUUUAUUUUCAUUUCAAGUUUCCCAUGUCAACUUUCUAUGUUUUGCCUGUAUUUGGGUGGUCUUGUAUGGAUGAGUUCACUCGAGCAGAACUACAAUAUUCACAUGAGCAUAUAUUCAUGUGAGUUUUAGCUUUGUCAACAAGUUUGAUUAGCGUUUCGUGUAGAUAAAUGAGAUUACAUGUGAUACCUUAGUUUCCAUGAACGAAACUAGACCUUAGUUCCCAACAUUGUGUCCAUCAAUUACAAAGGAUAAUGGAAGGUCUCAAAAUGACAGUGAAAUAGGCCAAUAUUAGUACAACUUAACGGACCCAUGCCAACGUACAAUUAGAUUAGAACUUAAACUACAAUCCUUCUAAGCAGCAAAGUUGCCGAGGGUGAAAAGACUUCGACUCUGUGAGCUAGCUAGCCUUCGUCGUUGUUGCCACAAGGCGCCAUUUGGACCUCCGCUUGACACACAGAGACGUACCCAGCCAGAUUAUUCUCCCAUUGCAUGCAUGAACACUACCAGAUCGAUAAAAUUCGAUUAGAAGAGACCACCGGCCAAUUCAGCUCCACAUAUAAACCCCUUCCUUGAUAUGUUAUUAUUGUUAUAGAUCAAUGAUGCGUGUUUUAAAUUGGCCGAUACGUGUCUGAAAAAAUUCAUUACAUCUUAUUUGUGAGCGUUCAUCACUCACUUGUCCAGUUGUGUUGAAUACAGUGCGUUUGUUUUCGUUGAACCUAGCUAGACAUGGUAUAAGUUCCAAACUGAACUUGUUUAUUUGUAUACCCUAAGUUCAAACUAAACUUGUAAGUAAUUACUAUUUUAAGUAAGGGUUAAAGCUGUGAGUCGAUCGCAACAGUACGUCACAACACUAGAACAUGUUUUGAUAUUUUCGACAUUUUUCUUUCUUCUUCUCUUUUUAUCUUUUGUGACAAAUUAUAUACAAGUCAUUGUGAUCGAUCUGUCAUUAUAUAUUCCUCACAUUUCACAUGCAAUAAAGGUCAACUCGGACAUGGUAAUCAUCUCAUGAAAUGCAAUCUUCUAACUGUUGGAAAGCAUUUGUAUGGGUUAGAGGAUACCGAUUUCCAAAUUAAUUAGGUCAUCUUUUGCAAUAUAUAUAGUAAUAGUGACCUAGAAAUAAUUAACCAUACAACUUAUGAAUUUCAUGAUUAGAAGAACUUGAUCAAUGAUGUUGGAGAAAACGUACUAGAAUGAAGGGGGGUAUCUGCAUCCCUCAAACUCUCAAAGGACAUAAUGCACUUAUAUGCACGCAGACUUACAAAUCUAUAAUAUGCACAUAAUUUGAAGUGUUUUUAAGAAUGAUGCACUUUGAAGUGUUUCUUAUCACUCAAAUAGCCAAAUGCACACGUUGUUUUUAGCUCUUGAACCUCAAAUACCAUCGAGAAUUGGCAUCCACGUACAAAUCGUUCAACUUAUAUUAAAUUCCAUAAUGCAUUUCAAUGAAUAUAUAACCCUGGCCAUUCCUUUCAUUCAACUUUCACAACACCGAUAACCUCCUUUAUAUUAUUUUCUUUCUCCCACACAAUAAAGGUACGAAGAAACAAACAAAAACCAUGUGAAAUAAAAGAACAGAAGAAUUUGAGCUAGCUAUAUCAGAAGGCCACUCAUCUCUUAACCCCCGUCAUCAACUACAAUGUCGUUGCUUUCCAGCUCCUCCCUUUACAUUAUAUACACACAUUUCUAUCAAAAACCAAACUCUACCUUGUUCACUUUGUCCAAAGCCACCUGAUCAUCCUAGUUAACUCUCUUUCCUCUCUUAAGGCGGUAUGUCGAUGCCACCGAUGGCGCCCAUGCCGCCCAUGCCGCCGAUGGCUCCCAUGCCACCGAUGCCGCCGAUGGCACCGAUGGCACCGAUGCAGAUGACUCCACCUUCGGGCGACCUGAGCAACACAUCCAUGAUCAUGAACAACAACCUCCACUGGGGCAUCGACGCCACUAUACUCUUCUCCGGCUGGCCAGGCCACCACCACCCCGGCAUGUACGUCUUAUCUCUCGUCUUCCUCUUCCUCCUCGCCAUCGCCAUCGAGGUUCUUUCAGUGGGGCCUACUCUGAAGCCAGCCGCCACUCCUCUAGUCUCCGGCGUCACUCAGACGGGUAUAUAUGCCCUGCGCACGGUUUUGGCAUACUUGGUCAUGUUAUCUGUCAUGUCCUUCAAUAUUGGAAUCCUCAUAGCCGUGGUGGCUGGCCACGCCCUAGGUUUCUUUGUCGUCAAGGUUCGUGCGCUUAACCACAUCGCCGGCCAAGGCCAAGUCGACUCGAACGAUCCGCUCAAAGUAUGAUCGACAAUGAAUCAGUGUGUCUUCUUCUUAAUAACGGCGUUGUGGUUUGUUUGUUAUCUUUUGUAUCAUAUUGCUCUUGACUCGCCUGGUUUUAAUUGGUUUGUUUAAGCUUUGUUCUGUGCGACCUUUCUUUCGUCGUUGUUUCUAUAGCCUUUUCUAUUAAAUUGUGCGUGCUUGUUGUGCUGUAGCAGUGUUGUAUUUUAAGCUAGCUAGUUUCUUGAGGCUAGCUUGUAUUGUAUAAUUGAUUCUCAAAAAGAGGUUAUAUUGUAUAAUUAAUUGCAUAGUUUUAAACUUUUAUUGAACGUCUUGCACUCUUGCGUAGUGCUCAAUAAAGCUAUUGUUGGAUUCUUCUACUCGGAUCUCUUACUUGAGUUACUUCAACGAGAACUCAUUUUAUGUUGAAGUCUAGAAUGACCACUUUUCAUUUUCUUUUUCACGUAAUAAAAUCCGUACGUAAUUAUGAGCUGUGAUCGAAAUCGAUUUAUCUCAAUUUGAAAAAUACACGUAUCCAUAGUUCGUUAUAGUAUACACGUAUCAUAUAGUUCGUUAUCUAUAUGAUUACCAGUAUAGUAUGAUUAGUAUCAAAACCAAACAUUGUUCUCAUCGCUACUCUAUAAACCAAAAUCUGGACUCCUCCGUUUUCUGUAAAUUAGUGUUUAGAAUCACCAAUACGUAGUUAGCCCAGCUAAGUGCCUAAAUUGAAGAAGCACCUUAUAUAUAUAGUUGGCUGGAGUUACAAUCUAAAUUGUAACAACACGCAUCACCAUAUUGAGGGAGGUAAAGGACGAAUGGGGAAGUGCUAUACGAUUAUGAAUGCAGAAGAUAUGGCUGGUGUUUGCACCCGAAACUAGCUAGACUACUCUGACAUCACUCUGUAAAUUCAGCUUAACAGUGACUAGUUCGUAGGUUAAUGUAAACUUUUAUGAUCAGGAUUCAUAUAGAAAAGGGAGUAAGAAAACGAAAGGGGGCUCAUAAGGACCCUUACAAAUCAACCCCGUUUUGACCUCGUUAACAAUAGAGCUGCGUAAUACAGUCACUUCUGAUUUUCCGAAAUUGUAUAUCCAUUGUCCGUGGAGUAUAGAACCUAGGAAGUGUGAUUUUACUUGGUAGUUGGAUCUCUGUUGUAGUCUACAAUAUCUCUGUUAGUCUUCCACCGUAAUCAAAGGAACCCGUCUAAUUAAUCCACUGGUUCAGCAAAUAGGCCAGAACAAAGACGAAUGUGAAAUUGAAAAGCAUGGUGGUCCAUCCUAUCCGUCCAAGGACUGUGAGCAAUCUGGCCCAGAAUGAGGUUUGCGGGGCUGAUGUUUGAGCGGCAUUCCCCGCAACUUCACGAGAGGUGUCCGAAGUAUCUCCAUCCAAAUCCUCCUCCUGAGCACCAUUCUUCUCGUUUACAUCUGCAGCCUUAUCUCCAUUUUCUUCGGUUCCAACCUCUGAAAUUUCCCCUGGCUUCUUGUCAAAUAGUCCCUUGAAUUGUUUCCGUUGCUUCUUCUCAACCUCCUGAUAUGCCAAGAAAAGACACAGAUGAUAUUGCAUGAUCGAGAAUUCUCACUGCAACUCAAACAAUGAAUUAAAUUUAUUCAUGCUCAACCCACCUGUUCUUGCUGCUUCACUUUAAGAAGAGCAGCUGUUGCAUCUGGUUCCGUCGACUUGUCAAGUUGUAUCAUCUAAUAGCGUCCAAGAUAGAAAUAAAAAAGAUGUAUGAUAAGAAUGUAUCAUUCAUCAAACAAGUAAAAUACCACUGAGUUUAAACAUUACCUUGUUGAAGUCACUCUUGGCUUCCUCAAAAUCUCCAGCAGCCAUGAAGGCCAUUCCACGGCGGUAGAGAGCCUUAACAUGACCAGGGUUUGCCUCUAUAACCUAGAAAGAUCAGAUACAUCACAAGCCAAGUCAAACAGAUUAACUUGGCACUGCAAUAUCAACUAUUUUGACCUCGUAUACUGUAUUAUGUAAUCAAGAUACCUUGUUGCAUGUCUCAAUGGCUUUUCUGCAUUCCCCCAUUUUAAUGUAGCAUGCAGCCACAUUCAGAUGUAGCAGAUUCUUCAAACCAGAAACAAGCGCAAAUUAUCAAUCACUGAUGUAGAUUUGUAAAGCUAUCAUACAUACAGGCUCUGUUGCUAAGUUAGAAAUGAUGAAGUGAAGAUAUUUCAAUCAAGAAUAGUUGGACAAUAUUCCCUUCAAGCACAUACUAAAUAUAUGGUAAGACACACAAAGUAGAGUGAAACACGCAAAGCAAGAUGCUUACCCUCGUAUUUGAAAAUGUCUUCCCUUCUUCAUCAUCUUGUGGAUUAACGUGAUUAAAUUCCCGAAGCACCUACAUGGCCCAGCAGAUUGGAAUUAAGCUCAAUGAACACGUUUUCAAGUAUUUCUAAUAGUUGGUGGUAUUGCAUCACCAGUUUUGGGGAAAAAACGAACUGAGCUGAUGGCACUUGGAUGCCAGUAAUAUAGCUCCUCAAUAGAUUGACCAUGAUAUAAAGGGAUAUUAAAAGUUACUUCCUACAGCAUAUAAAUUUACAGCAGGCAGCACACAACUUUGCAAUGGGAUCAAACAAAUGACUGUUGUAAGAAAUCAUCCUUCUACAUGCAAUUAUGCAUCAGAAAAUAGUGUCCAAAAGGAAUCAUGCAAAAUAUGCAUACAGUACCUUGUCAUACUUUGCCUUGGCAAGUUCAAAUUUUCCUUCUUUAAAUAGCCUGUUCCCCUAAAAUGAAAAUGACAACACAAUUCUAAGUUCACAUAAUUUAGAGUUUGAGUAGCCCACUGAAUUAAUGGGAUGCACUAAUAUAAAAAUAAUUCAAAAUACUGAAACAACUUUGUAUCUUCUGAACAUGAAUGUGCAUGCAUGAAAGGAUACAAAACUUGGAUCAGAUAAGAUUCUCCAUUAAUACACCCAGCAGCUGUUAGAUGGUUAUUUGUGGCGAAAAUCAAAUCUUAUUAAUACAUACUGUGUUUCUAAUCUUCUCUGCUUCAUCCAUUAUGCUUAUAAAGUCCAAACCGGUCCAAUCCUGCAAUCGUAUGAAAGUAAGGCAUUAAACACUUGGCUUAGUGCAACUUGAAAGGAAGGACCUAAGAAAAAGAGCUCUCAAGAACAUAUGCAGAUAAUCGUGUCCAGAUGACCAUGAAAUGAGAUAAGCCUUAGCAGUGACAUCAAAUUCUAGAGCACCCACAGCUUCCAUACAAGUCUACCUCUCUUCAGAACCACUAAACGUAAAUGUCAAAGAGAACCAUGCAGAGCCUUAGAGUUACUUUGAGUCAAAAGCUAAUUCUCAAAACAAGGUUGAUAAUGAAACCUCAGAUUAGAUGGUAUACCAAGAUGAUUACCUAAUACUUCAAUCAUCAAAUCAUGCAAACUUUUUCAUUACCCAUUCUCAGACAAGAUAUUUUCAUCUCAUACUGAAGCAACCACUUGGACACACUUUAAAUUCAUACCAAAAAAAUUAAAUAAUAGUCAUAGAUAUAACAAUCCUUAUCAUAAAAAUUACAUUAGUUAAAAGAUAAAACAUUACAGAAAGAAUAACUUUAGAAAUUACCCUUGGCAUCUCAAAACCAAGAAGCUCGAUUUCCCAUUGAAUAUGAGCCCCUUCAGGAACGUUAGCAGGCCUGGCGAUAUGGGGGAAAAACCAGUGACACAUUUGAACUGGAUGAACAAACGAAUAACGACAAGAGACUUCCAAUUUUGGCUUGCGUAUUAAUUUAGAGUAUUGUUGACGGCAAAUCAUAAUGAAUUACAGAAGGCAAGCUCGAAUUCAAAAGGUAACCUAGCGAACUUGUCAUAUGCAUAAUCAGGAGGACAGGUGACCAGAGCUAUCUCACCAGGCAGCAUCAAACGAACACACAUUUCGAACCCCUCAGGCACCUUCAUACACAAAUAAAUGUUUCAGUGCAAUUAAUUCCGCCCUAAAUUUGUUGAUAUCUGAAACAAGGUUCCAGAACAAUCUAUGCCAAUUGCAUCGUGCAAAUACAUAUAUAGCAGUACCAGAAGAAUGAAGAUUAAAAUCAAGCAUAAAUAUUUCUCCCCAGAGAUGGUGAAAAACUCACAAGGCCUUCACCAGAACAGAACUCCAAAGGCUGACCAUUGUUGUCAACUCUCGUAUCAAAGAAGACUGCCUUUUCCUCAUUAAGAAUCAUGCCCUUGUAAUGGACUUGUAGAAGGCUGUCGUGAAGAGGACAAUCCAUAGGAAACUCACCUGAUUGUUCCAAAAUAUGAUAAACAUGUUACAUUUGAGCCAUUUUGUGUCUGAGUUUCAUAUAUGCACAUAUUGGAUUUUAGGAAUAUACACAAAAAGUACCACUUGGUAUAAAUCACAGUGAAUUCGAAACAGGUGGCAUGACGCUAACGGCAAUCGCAUAUCAUGUAGCAUUUCAUGACCCAUAUUUUUAAUGAAAUUUAAUUUAUUUGAAAAGGGUUAAAAUUCUAAAACCACACCUUCUCCAUCACGAACACGCCUUUUAAUCAGACGCCCAUCUCCGAGCAUGUCUCGAACCUUUUAAUACAUAACAAUAGAGUUAGAUCAGAACCUCAAUACUUUUUAACCCACAGAAGAAAACUCCCUGUCAAAUUACCUACACUAUUAUUUUGAGACUAUGAUUGAGAAAUAAGAACUUUGCACACCUGAAUAAAGUGGACAAGCUCCACCUCAAAAUGAACUUCUUCAACACCAUCUACCACAGGUAGGAAAGGAGAUGAAGUCAAAUACUGACUGCUGACAUAUAUUAUUGCCUUCUCUUGCCGUGCCAUUGUACCAAUUCCCAUCUCAAGACCUUUAGGUAUCUAGUUUGUAUUUAAAGCACCAUAGUUAGUAAAAUGAAGUAGUCAAAUGCAAUUUUCUCCCACACAGCCUGAAAAUUGAUCAGGCCUUUUCUCUUAUUAUUACAGAGUGAAAUGUGAACCCAUCACGUAUGUCCAGUUAAGGUCAAUUUUAUUGUUUUUACACAGAAAAUGAACGAGAAAAACCGAACAUAGUAACAGCUGAAAGUUCACCAACCUCCGACUUUCCAAAGUUAAAGAAAAAUGGUUCUUCUCGAGUACAUGGAACAAGCACUUUCCCAUCAGCAGUCUUUGCGGAAAUCCUAAGAACGGUCAUAUACCCCUCUUUAAAUAGUUUAAGCAUAUUCCAAUUUGCAAUACAAUAAAACAGCGGAAGUACUAGUUGGGAACGGCGUAAAAAGGUUUAUACCAGGCUUUUACUUCAUAUGGUUCCCUCGGAGAUUCCCAACCCUGACCUUCGGUUAUUACCUGCCGAGUGCAAACAGGGAGUCCAUUAUGAAAUAAAAGUUACAAAUAUGGAGCAAAGAAGGUAAAAUAAAAUUCAUAAUUUGUUGUCUAAAUCAUCACCUACCUAACAUCCUCACUUCAUUAGAUCCUCUCUUUUUUUCUAUAAAUCAUAUCAUUUGACUUAUCAAAUUUGAUCACUAAUCUUAUGAUAUCUAAACGUUCUUCCAUCAACUUUUUGCCAUGAUGCAAAAGAGAUCUAUGCCCAUGCAGCAGAGCUAUAAUUUUAAGAAUACAUAUUAUCGUGAUAGACGCCAAUGACAACCCAGUACAAUUGUGGAAAAGCAUUUUAGUUCAUUAGAAUGCGCAUAACCAAUUCAAAUAAAAUGCAACAAUAUAUUAUUUCCAAUACCUUCUUCACAACCCCCAAGUCAUCACUAAUAACCUGAAAAAGAACAUAAAAGCCAAACAAGAUCAGAGCCAAUGUGAGGUCAGGAAGAAAGGUAAAAAGAUAAAACCAAUGUGUUAAUCACCAUCUAAAUAUCUAAUCAAUAGUUACAUAAGCACACACAACUUUUCAGCAGAAGAAUCAGUAAUAUUCACGUUUGAUAUGGAAUCAACAUAUGCUAGGUGGAGCUCUACAAUGCUGUUAACAUUAUGGAUAUAAAAUGGUGGUUUCUAUUCGAAGGUCUUACCUUGGCUUUGAAGAAAUCUAUCAUCUCAAUCUCAAAAUGAAGUUCAUCAUCCUUUGGGAAGUCUGUGGGAGCUGAUAGUGGGCAAUCAUCCUCACCAUAGUGCACUUGAGGUUUCAUUUUCAACUAAGUCAUUACACAAACAAACAAUUACAGUCAUAUACAAAAUGAACUAUAUACACAAGCACAAAUAACAUUUAACCAAAUAUGAAAAGGUUUAUCUUCUUCAAUAUAGGAUUUUCUACCCCAUUAAGAUGCUGUCUAACUUUUAGAAAGCACAUUUGCCGGUUGGCACAACAACACAGCAGUACCAAUUCAGUUUCAAAUUCACCAAUUUACACACACAGUCAUUGCCAGACAAAAGAACUCAUGAACAAAGAUAUUACCAUUGCAAUUUCACCCUUCUGCAUUGUUGGAAUUCCUUCUAGCAAUCCAACUAUCAUCUUGCUCUUUCCCAAAACACUUCGGAUGGGGAUUCCCUUGCCUGUUGACAAAUGAUUAUUAAACUCAAUCAGUGGAAUACAACAUUCGCAUUAAACUCAAUCAGAUAAUUCCACAAAACUGAACACAAUUUUGAAGGAAAAUAUCAAGAUAUCCUCUAUUAAUUGUGAAAAUGUGCUUUCCUAACAGGCUAACACACAAUUCAACUCACCGCCGUAUUCCGAUCUUGAAGAUUGAACAAUAACUCCAUCCAAUGUUCUAACAGUGAAAUGAUAAAUGACCUACAAAACAAACAAUCAAACUUAGCUUCCACAGUUUGCUUUCACACAGUUCAAUUGCUAUUUUAGCUUCAAUAAUCGCAAUGUAAGCCCAACCUGAUCACCAUCAGAAGGUGUCGAAUCACCUCCGCCAGGUCUGAUCACUGCUUUCAUCAAGCUUCCGGCCACUAUUUUCAUCCUCCUAAAACCAAAACAAAAUCAUCAAAAUUCCAAUAGCAUUUCAAAAUUUCCACAGAUUCAUUUCUAACUUGCUAAAAUCGAAGCUACCUACCUCUUCUCGUCAUCGGUUGGUUCUUUCUUCGGCUUCUCUGGCGCGGCGGCUUCAAUCACAGCCAUCUCCGAUCAACGUCGCCGGAAGUUUUAGAACGAUGAAAUCCCUAGCCGUACACGAAGCAAAGAGCUCCGGUUAGUUGAGGCAGUCGGAGUAGGAAGCUCCGGUAAUCACAGAGCUUACCUGACUGAUUGACUCAGAGAGUCGUCGAUUCUGGAAGCUUCAGUUCCCUAUUUUGAUUUUCAAUUUCAACGAACGGAUCACUUGACUAAAAUGGAGGAUGGGGCAGUUGAGCACGAAAGAAUUACCGUCCGUAAUUCGUACCUUUAUUUUACUAUUUUACUUUGCAGGGCGCCAUAUGUCGAGCUUCCGGCGGCGUCCAACUUGUUUUGGCGUUAGUAGUGACAAGUGGCACCACGCUAUUGAGAAUUUGACACAAAUUAUUGGGUUUUUUUUUAUAAAAAAAAAUACCCAUUUACGUAAAAUCAGCUAAACUAAUGCCUAAUUGAAUAAAAAACACAAUAUGGUUGUUGGACCUUCCUCAAAUGGUAAAUUUUCGAUUAAGUCUGCUACUUGGUUACAAUAUGAUUAAGUUCAGGAACAUGAUCAAAUACAGCUGCUAAACAAGUUAUGGAAGCUAAAUAUCCAACCAAAAGUUAAGCUUUUUGGUUGGCUCUUGAUCAGAGGCAGGCUCAAAACAAGAGACAGGCUCUCCAGGUUUGGUUUUAUUGAUAAUAACUCUUGCCCCCUUUGUAACAAUGAUAAUGAAACAGUUAACCAUGUUUUUGGUUAUUGUGAAUUUACUAAACAAGUUUGGAAUCUUUCUCACAUUGACUCCCCAGUUGAUUGGGAAGAGGGUUACCUCAAAGUUUUUAAGGAACUCUUUAUCUCUCAACCUUAUGAUGCUGAUUUGUUUGCAAAAAUGAUUACCAUUUGUUGGCAGGUCUGGAAAGUUAGAAAUGAUACUGUUUUUAGAGGAGGUGUUCCUAAUCCUCUAUCAACUACCUUAGCUGCAGCUUCAAUGAUCUCAUGUCAUACUAGUCUUAGCGAAAGAGUUAUGGGGGUGCAUUCUCAAAACCAGUGUGCCACUAUUAAGUGGCAAACUCCUCCUAACUCUUUUGUUAAAAUUAACUUUGAUGGAUCAGUCACAAGUAACUCAGUUGCUUGUGGCUUUAUAAUUAGAGACGCCAAUGGAAGACCGAUCUCUGCUGCCUCCAAUCGCAUUGGUAGAGCUUCAGUUCCAAUUGCUGAACCCGUGGCUUUGAGAGACGGCUUACUCAAAGCAAAGGAGAAGGGUUUUACUAAUGUUGAAGUUGAAGGAGAUUCAAAGUUGGUGAUAGAUGCAGUGAAUGGCCGCUUUGAACCACCUUGGAGAUUGAUCAAACUAGUGGAAGACAUCAGAACUUUAGCUACUAGUUUUGAUUCUAUUAUUUUUAGGCAUGUGUUAAGGGAAGCUAACUUUGUAGCCGAUGCUAUAGCUAAUCUUGGGCAUGCUUGUAAUUCUCCUAUGUAUUGGAAUGAUAGGAUUCCCAGUGAGGUUUCGAGAGCCUUACUAUUUGAUAUUGUAAAUGUCACAUCCCGAAUUUUGGAUAAAUAAAAAUUCCAAAUUCAAGGCAUGAUAACUAAAAGAAAAACAAACUUUACAACAAUUUAUUUUUACAACUUGUGGAAAAUAAUUUGAACCAAAUAAAACCUCCCUCAAACUCACUGCAAACUAGAAAGUAAACAAAAUGAACUAUGCCUAUCUGCCGCAGCCUCAACUCUGCUAAACCUGACCUGCAAAAACAACCUCUACACCAUGGAUUGGUGCACCGGGUUGUAAACAACAAACCCGGUAAGCUUUAAAAGCUCGUAUGAGUAAAUCUACAAAAAUGACUCAAUCCAACAACACAUGAAUAAAACUGGGAGUUCAUGCAUUAAAAUGAAUUCAGGAAAACACUUACCAUCAAGAGAAAUGAAAAGAAGAAAUUAAGAAAACGCAACAGUUCAAAACCAAACAAAUCAUAAUGAAAUCCUGCAAAAAGCGUAGUUCAGGAUUCCACUAAAUCACACAAUUAAAAUUAAAGAAUCUCCNNNNNNNNNNNNNNNNNNNNUAUCGUCAACCACCUAGAAUAGAAUCUCCACUUAGUAACAAACAAAAACAACAUAAACCGACUCGAACCAAAACUCAAGUCCUAACCCACAAAUUUGUCACUCGAGACAAAACCUCUCUCUAUACCUCAAAAAGGUCGCCUGAACAUCCUACACAACCUAUAAAACCACAAACCAGAUUUCUAAAAAUCAGAAAUACUCAAAAAUGGAAACCGAGACGAAAACUAGCAUUCGAGAGGGAAACCUUAGCAUGCAUCAUCAGUAACCAAAACCUACAAAACACAUAUCAACAUGAUCGUAUCAAAAAGUACUACCUAACCAACAACACAAACACCACAACCACCUUCGGACGCGCCGCUACGCGCUGCCCCUAGCGACUGCGCGUGGGCCCCACGCGCCACCCCACUAACCUUCGAAAACGGACAAACUUCCAACACCAAAAGUAUAGCUCAGAGCAAGGAGAGCAACUUCCAUACCUCGAGGUCGAAACCAAAANNNNNNNNNNNNNNNNNNNNNNNNNNNNNNNNNNNNNNNNNNNNNNNNNNNNNNNNNNNNNNNNNNNNNNNNNNNNNNNNNNNNNNNNNNNNNNNNNNNNNNNNNNNNNNNNNNNNNNNNNNNNNNNNNNNNNNNNNNNNNNNNNNNNNNNNNNNNNNNNNNNNNNNNNNNNNNNNNNNNNNNNNNNNNNNNNNNNNNNNNNNNNNNNNNNNNNNNNNNNNNNNNNNNNNNNNNNNNNNNGGGGUCGGGGAGGGAGAAGAAAGAGGGAAGGAAAUGGGUUCUGGAAAAAUGAAUGGAAACCCUAACACUUUCCUUAUUUAACCCGAAAAUCCCGUAAAGCCACGAACUUCCGCUUACCAUAACUUCCUCAUACGAAGUCCAUUUUACGCGUGCCAUAUGUCUACGAACUCGUAUCGUCGUGCUCUACAACUUUCGUGAAGAAAGUUUUCCGAGAAACCCAAUAGAUUAAAAAGUCAACUCUUGACCCUUCAAAAUAAAGCAUUUCCACGGAAAUAAAAACUUGACUACUUCCAGUCCACUCACUAAACCACAAAAUCAUACAACUCUUACUUAAAAAUUUCCAAAAUAACAUUAGAAACUAAUAUCAAAUUUCCGGGGUAUUACAGUAAACGUUGGUUGCCCUAGAGGCUUCUUAAUGUAAUUUAUUUUCCUUUUCAAAAAAACACAAUAUGGUUGUUUACCUGUUAUCCAAGAACAAGAUUUGAAAUUAAAUCAUUAGGGAAUUCAUUGUUGUUUACCUACUUGUUGUCGUGGCAUCAACUCUAUGCCUAUGAAUUUCAUUCUUAAAAUGUUCUCCAUCAAUACUUUGUUUGAGCAGGCCCAAACAUGUGAUUUUUAGAUCUGAGUCUAACUUUCAAAAUUGGGCCUUCAAAGUAUAGUAUUCAUUCAAUUUUAUUUUCUCUUUUUAAGAAAUACAAAAAAAAUUUCACGAACUAAAACUAUAAACUCAAAAUCUAUGGCUGCUCAUUUUUCUAAAAUAGCAACUAAUGAUAUUAAUAUAAUAGGUAAGAUUUUAUAUUCAUUUUUCUCUUUUAUAAUCUAACACCACUCUAAUUGGAUGCUAUUAAUUAUUUUUUAUUGUUUUUAACUAAACUAAUGUAAUCACACAAAGAGAAAAGAAAAUUUUGGGCCCCUAAGGUUCUGGGCCCUGAGUUCAUUGACUAUUAGGACUCUAUUCAGGUACAAGUCUGUGUCUGAAAGUCAUAUAUAUAAAUGACACUCACCGUUGAAAUUAUGCUACAUUCAGUCUGAAAAUUAUACUCUAUAUUGUUCUUUGGUCAAAAGUAUAAUAUUAACCUGAGUUAUGUUUAGGCUUAAUAGUUCAAGAAAGGUGGGAUUUGCAUUUAUCAUGGAUAAUGGUCACAUUGAACAUAUUCAUGCAAUGGAGGCUAAUCGGUAAUGGGAAAGAAUGGGCAAGCGGGGAAUUUUCAGCUCCCCCCAUUGUAUCAAUGGGGGAGCGAGGGAAAUGAUAAUGGGCCCCGCUCCUCUUUGUCCCUCCCUAUUUGUGGCAACAAAGGUGAAGCGUAUAUUAAUAAUGAGCAUAAGAAUAGUUUUAAGUGGACAAACAAGUUUGAAAAUGAUGUUCAUAUUAAAGAUAGUGAAGACUAUAGAGUAAGAGUAUCAUCUUUAAGUUUACGCUUAUUAAAACUCACUUGUUUAAAUGUAAAUUUGUAUUUGGAGAAGGGAAAAUUUUAAGAACAGUACAUGACAAACGAUCCGUUCUCAAUUUCAGUGUUUCAAGUUUCAAAACAAUCAAAAUGAUACAUGACGUUUAAAAGCCGACACACUUUUAACACAUGUCGUCAAUAACACCGUUAACUCUAUGUAAUUUCUCAUUUUUCAAAAUGUGGUUUCGAGUUUUCUUCAUUCUCUCUUUCUUUAUAUUAUGUUUUUUUUCUCUUUAUAUAUAUUUUUAAUCUUGUAAAUUCAUACCAUAUAUUCUCAAAGACUUUGUUAUUUUCUCUUGUAUGGUUUCUUUGCUUACUAUUCGUUGUAUUUGUAAGUUACUGGGUUUGGUUUUAAUGAAAGACUCAUAUUCAUCAACAACACACAAAAAAAACACUUUGUUGCUCAUCCCAAACCAAGUAAAACUGGGACAUAGCUUUCUCACUCUAAGUUUCCUUACUCAAUACCCACCAAUAUAUAUUCAAACUCUUUCUUCCAUAACUUACCAAAUCAAAUCAUCUUCCAACUUCCUCCUAUAGUCCUACCUUGAUCACCAUUUUUGUGUAUGAUGGGUUUGAACGGGGACUAAAAAGAGAGACAACAAUACUUGUUUCUUUCUUAUUUGCCUCUCCUUAUUAAUUAUUAAUUUUAAUAAUUUAUUCCUGCUAAAUUAAGGAGCGAUGGAUUUGCCCAAAGUUUAAUGAAAAACAUGUUAGAUAACAGAGAGACUGUAACGUGUACAUAUUUUUUAUUGAGAUUAUAAGUUCAUGUACCGUUAUGAUUGUUUUGAAACUUGAAACACCAAAAUUAAAAUGUUGACAAUUUAUCAUGUAUUGUUCUUAAAAUUUUCUUUUUUUAGACAUUAAGAAUAUUUCAACUCCCAUGCCAGUAUCAUUGCGUCUCGCUUACCAUUUUCAUAUAUUUCUCCUAAUCAAUAGUAUGACAAUCGAUUACCCAUGAGUCAAUAUUGUCGACCCAUGUUCUAGUCCGAGUGUCCAACCCGUCCAAGAGACAUAAAAACACCACAAGAUAAGACGAAAUGCUAGCCGACCUAGGCUGCUCUAGCUACGUACAUCGCCCAAACAAGUAGCAAGUAGCAAGCAUCAUGCUUCACCAUAACUCCACGCUUUUACUAUCACGGAUAGUUACUUUCUGGUACAAAAUACAAACCAGUAAUUCGUAUUGGAGCCCCUCUUAUGUCUAUUGAUAACUCGAUCCGUUUCCAAUUGACGGGUCUUAAUCGGGUCAGGACGAGGCCACCGUCGAAUUCCAAAACCUUUCACCAAAAUGGCAAAUAAAACAUGCCUCGAUUCUCCUGGGCAAAGCGUUAGUGCUUUCCAGGUUGCUCUGUAUAUCCAAUAUGGCCCACUGAGUCUAGUCCAAUAUAUCAGGUCCGUGUAAUGGAACCAAACAAAUACCAACAUGACUUGAUGUAUCAGUGCUUCCACAGCCGAUGACAAAUACGUCUCAUUCUUUUACAUGGACACGGGCAACUACUUGCAUAAUUAUGCUCCAAAAAUUGCAAACAUGCCAUAUUAAGCAACCACAUUGUCAUUGUAUCAUUUCCUAAGACACAUUGGUUUAAGGCUUAGACUCUCGGCUUAGGCCGUUGCUAAUAUUUUUUCUUUUUUGCCAAUCUCACUAAUCUUUACAUUCUCGAAAUCUAUGGGAGUGUAUAUAGUCUACCACGGUUGAAUGGUAACCGACAACAUGUGGCCAUGCACUUGACGUUUUAAAAGCCUCUGAUGACCCCGGUUCCAUCUGAUUUUGGUUUCUUGAUGUCAGUUUGGUGCGGUUUUGGUUGUCUCGUGCCUAAAAGUCCAACCCUAGUUGCAUGGUACUUAUAAGGCCUCAUUUGGCUCAUGUAAGGAAAUGUAAUUCCUUGAUCUUUUCUUUGGGAAGGGAAAGAGAGGGGAAAUGACAAUUCCUUAAUACAUUCAAUUGCGAUGUUUGGUAACAUAAGAAAAAUCAUCCAGACAAUUAGAUUUUGAAAUGAACCAUUUUCUUUUAUAUUUUUCAUUACUUCAUGAAGGUGUUUUCGUUCAUCCAACGUUCAUAAACGCAAGAAAUGAACAACUUUACUUUUUUAUUGGUUACUUUAUGCGAAACAAACGAUGCUCCUUACGCAGUUACGCAGUGGCGGAACUGUGUUUGGGUCUGGGAGGGUUUAGACCCCUACCAGCUUUUGCAUACCUCUUUCAUUAGCUAACUAAAUUACCUUAACAAUGACAAUUAUACUCUAUUUGAAGCCCCUUUAGAUAACAUUUUGGAUAUUCAUUCUCUUUUGAUAUGAUAUUUUAGAUAUUCUUUCUCUUUUAAUUUGAUAUUGGAACAAAUAAAUUCAUUUAAUCUUAACUUUGAUACUUGAUUGAUAUUCAAACAUUGAAUUUUAAUACGUAAAAAGCUCAAAAAAACAUUACUUUAUGUUAAUAAUUUGUUCAUUUUACGUUUCAAUUUGAUGCUUACGAUAACAUAAAAUAAUUUUUAUAUUUAGAUCGCGCGUAACUGUUAAUCCUGCCUCUGCCCUUGCUCUUACGUAUUCUGAAUCGAAGUUGUAAUUAAUCCAAACAAAGACACUGAGAGUGAGAACAAAAAAAAACAAAAGAAGAAAGGAGGCAUCUGACCAAGUCAAACUGACAAUCCAGCGAGAUGUAACGCACGCAUAUCCACUCACGCACCUCCUCCACCACUCAGGACACAUCAACCGACUUCCCCCUCCAAUUUUAGUAUAAUCCGUAACAUUCCCCAGCCGCGUCUCUCGCGCGUGUAAGGCCCCAACCCAAUAACAAGUAGUGCGCGCCAUGUGAUAUUAUUGAAACAGCCUUGCAUGGCCCCUUCGCGACGUGCUUCGCCACCACCCCACGCCGGCAACUACUCCCCUUCUUCCCAAACCCCUCCGCUCAGUCGGUCAGCCCCACCAUUCAUUUCUUUAACCCAAAAAAAAAAAAAUCUUGAUUUUUUUCGAUAAAAAAAAAACUUGAUUGAUACGCAGAGUUCCCAUAGCAGAAAAUCUCAAAAUAAAGCGCGCAAUUGACGCUCAUUGGCGAAUGCCACGUGGAGAAAGAAGGCCACGCGUUGGUCCCACUAACGACCACCUCGCGACGGCUCAUUCGGUGGUUGUGGUGCUUCUCUCUUAAGCAAAACCCCCAUUUCCAGCUCCAGUUCCGUUUUGCUUAAUAAUUUUUAAUUAACGACUAAUUAAUGCAGGAUUAACAGGUUAACAACGACCCACGAGACUAAACAAUCCAGCUUGCCGGACCUCGGGGAAACCAGAAAGUCUUUUUGUCAAGCAGCUUCUUCUAGAGCUACUGGCACUGCUACAAAGAAGUACUAUACUAAUUAACGUAUCCCCUUCCUUUAUUAAUUUAAUGAUACAAGUAAAACCAAUUAGGCACACUACCCAACAACAUUAACUGCUCGACAAACAGCACAGCGGUCAAGAAAAUCUAAAAACAAGAAUAAAAAUAUAAGAACACAGAAUUUGCAAAUACACCCUUUUAUUAUAUCAUAAUAAUACUGCUGGACAUGGUGUGUGGCCAGGCUGGGAACCCAGAAAUACACAAUUUGAAUUUCUGAAUUUAAAUUCACACCGAUAUUUCUAAAAUAUCCCAACCUAAUAUCCCAUGAACAAAAACCACAAAAGGGACCCCACCACUUCUUCGCUCCUUUAGUCCAGCCAGAAGAGAACAGAGAAGGCUGGCUGCUUCUGCUUGUGCCUAUUGCUGCAGCUUGGCACCAAACGAGGCAAGCAUUUAUUUUUCACCUAAAACCCCUAAAGCCCAGAUAACAUUUCCUUCAUUCUUCUUCUUUGUUCCCACUUUCCAGCAUUUCUUCCCUGUCCUGUCUUUCUCAAAACCCCUAUUUUCUUUUGUCCUACACUUCCUAAUACUAUUAACCCUGUUACCUUUCCCCUUUACUUCUUCCUAAAACCUUGUUCAAUUUUCCUUUGUCCCUAAACAACCCCCCUAAAAACCCAAACACACCCACAGAAGCUAGUAAGUCCACUCCUGAGGAAGCCUAAUCUCAUGGUUCACUGGUGCCUGUGGCCUCAUCAUGCUGCGAUUCUGCUGAGCCAUGGCAAUUCUGUCAUUCCGAAGCCGAAGAGCAAGUUCUGCAAUAUCCAUUAAACCAAAUCAGUAAAAACCCAAAUAGUAAAAUCAGCGAAUCAGUUAAAUUAGGAGGACAAGUUUGUUACCAUAGUCAGGAGUGUUUCUUCCGUUGAGAGGGAUAUGGACUUGAGCCUGUGACGGUGCGCACACUUCCUCAACGUUCAACUUCAAUGCAUGCACUACCUUUGCUGGGACGAAAACCGUUGUGCUAGCUGUAAAAAAACGCCCAAGAAUAAGUAGUGAAUAACAGAAUGUAAAGAGCCCACCAAAAAAAUUUAAAUCACAAGACAGUCCACCAGACCAGAUCUGGAAUUUUCAGGGAAAUUUAUUUCUUUGGCACAUCAGAACCACCCAGGCCAUAAAAAUCAAAGUUCCCCCCAAAAAUCUUAAUGAUGUUGACCAACUGGCUUCAAUGAAGAAGAAAACAAAAUUUAUUUGUUGGGUUUUUUAAAUUUUUUUGAAAACGAAACAAAAUUGUGGGUGGGGUAGAGAAAAGUGGACCGACCUUGUUUGGGUUGUUGCUUCUUGCCGCGAGGAAACUCAGCUGGGGCUCCGAUUUGGCGGGGCAAGAACACACCAGUACCAGUAGACUCCUUGGCUGCUCCGACGACAGCAGCACCUCCGAAUCUAGGCCCAUUGGGCUGAAACUGUUGCCGUUGAGCUUGUUGCAGUGGAGGCCAAGCCGACGGCGAAAGACCCAGAGGCCCAUUGUUGGUGUUCCUGACCCUGUUCUGGACCAUCAGAUGUUGGAAUCGUUGGUUCGCCUGAGACUGAGCAAUCGCCGCCGAGAGGUUGUUCUUCAGAAUCUGUUGCUGUCUCAACCGCUCAAACUGUAACCAAAAAUAGGCGAAAAUUUAGGGACUGAAGCAGAAAUGGCGAAAGUGCUGUUUCGAGAAGUCGAAUUCUUUUUACCUGCAAGUGCUUCUGGGAAAGCGACUGCUGAUGGUGCUGGAGGUAGUACCCGAAAUCAGAGACAGCGACCGGAGAGGUCUCUCUUGGAGCACCCAAGAUGCCUCUGCCUUUUUGGUUGAAACGCAUAGCUUCUUCCCGGAUGCUCAUCUUGGCCACUUCCCCUGCAGCCGCAUGUAGCAGAUCCCAAGUGGCCGGCGGCGACUGAGCGUUCGGGCUUCCCCGGCUCGAGCCUUGUCCGCCGCAGCUGCAACUACUCCCGGCCGCGCACAGAGUCGAUUGCGGUGAGCCAGACGAAACCCACGGCUGAAAAACGGUAAAACAUAACCAGAAUCAGAAUCGGCAUGAAAACGCACCGUUUUGAAAAAUAAAUAAAAUAAUUAAGCUUCAGUUAUUACCUUGGAGCUGUUCUUGGAGCCAAGAACCGAGUCAUAGCGCUUGAACUCAUCGUCGAGAGAGGACUGAGCCAGGUGGCGAGUCAAUCCAGCAAGAUACUCCUCCUCGUCGCUCUCAGUCUCGCUGGACUCCACCGUGGAAGCCCCAAACGCGGAGUAAGGAAACUCGAAAGGAAAGAGAGCCGGCUUGGAGUCAGCAUCAAUGUCAGAGCCGAACGAGCUCAUCUUCCGGCUACUGGAGCCAAACUUGGGGCUGAUUUCGCCGUCAGAGUCGGUCAGAAUCUCCUGGGGUAACCAAAACGCGGCGUGGUCGAACUCAUCAGCCAUGAGCAAAGAGAGUGAUGGAGGCUUGCUGCUGGGUGAAGCUAUAAUAAUAGCCUCAGGGUCCCAAAAGCCCAAAGCAAAAGAAGCAGAGCAGUGUGGGGGGGAGUGUAGAGAGAAACAACUACGGAGGAGGAUGGUGGUGAGUGUAGAGAAGAAAGAAACGAGAGCCCCAAGGCCCCUUUUAUUUCUCGCGCACACACCUCUCUCUCUCUCUAUUAAUUAAUUAAUUAAUUAAUGGUUAAGAAACAGUGACCGGGAAGGGGAUUACACGCGGAGAGAGUGGCGCGUGGGAACACGCGGAGACUCCCCAGAGGGGGGAAAGUUGGGGACCUAGAGGGAGGAGGUGUCACGAGAUCCACCACAUGUGAGUGGGUGAUGUGAAAGAAAUUCUGAAAAACCAGUGAAAGCGUGAAGCCGUGGCGGCCCACAGACAAGGUCUCUCCCUGAGCGGUUAAAACCCAUUAUUACCUUCCCUGAGUUCCAUCAGAAGCUGUCCUCAGGAAAGAGCAAAAAGUAAUUACUUGUUACUGCGGGAGAGUAACUGCCAUUUGUACUCUAGGUUCAGUUCCACUUGGCAAUUCCCCACAUUGCCCUCCAUGCAAGACCCUCUGGUUCUUUGGAUCCCUCUGUAUGACCAAAAUGCCCCUCUGGUUUCCGAUAAGGUUUUGUGCACUUGUGGGUUGGUCACUUUCAGCUAAAGCCUGCUGCGGGAGGAUCAAGCUUUGGCAGAAGGCGAUCUUUGCGCAGAGAGAGACCCAAUGGGUGGAAACGAUUUUUACUGUGGGUUAAGGUAAUAAUGAAGAGUUGUCAUUUCUCGUCUUGGGGUGAUAAAGGUGGUAACUUUGUUCGAUUCACGAGCCAAAUCCUCGACUGCGUCAGGUGGUAAUGAUUUGUUCUCUGGAUGAGUUUGUAAAAAUUAAUUACCAAGAACAGUUAUGCGCUAAUCACAUGGAUUAGGAUCAUUUGGAGGGUAAUUAAGUAUAUGGAUGUUCAAAGUUUACAGCUCAAAAUGAUUGGUGAUUGAGGAUUCUUUUACCGGCUUCGUCAUAACUCACUUACUAAUCAGGCAAUACCUUUGUACUUAAGGAUGCAUUUCGCUUAGUCUUCGCAUUUAAUCACAUUAGUUCAAACAGAGUGAAUGAAGUGUUCUCCUUUCAAAGAAGUAACGUUAUUUCCUUAUUACGAUAGUCCAAGAAAGUUACCUUACUUCCUUAUUACUAUAGUUUCACGUAACUGAAAAUUAACUUUUUUUCUCUUCUUUUUUUACCUUUUUUUUUUCAACAUAACGUCAUAAAAUCUGUAAAUUUAAAAUUUAAAUUUCAAAGUAGGUUUUAUUCUGCCACUAAAACGGUGGUUGCGUCCAUUUCGCUAUCGUAGACAACGCAUACAAUGUGAUGAGCGUCACAAACCUCGUUGAAUAAUUUUGUUUGUCAGACUAAUACAGAGUAAUACUUGUUAAAUAAUAUUCACCAACUCUUUUACUGUCUCCAUUUCCUUGAAAUGAGUCAAUUGCCACUUUCUUAGUCCUCAAGUAAAAAAGAUACAAUAUAAGUCGUUCUGCACAUACAUAUGUUGUUUUAGUGUGUCGUUUUACCCUCUCUGUUUUUUUUACUCAAUUACCCAACUCAUCCCUCCAAUGAUCGACUUGCUUCAAUUCGAAGUUACUCACUCCAUACAAGUUAAGGUGGAAAAGCUUCGCAUUUUGUAAUGCACAAGUUGAAGUUAUGUGUUGCAGACAUGGAUAUUCCGUAUGAGGCUAAGAAAAAUCGAAUCAUAUAUCUCCCUUUACACUCAAAAGCACACAUUUGUGAGUUGGGACGGUGCCAUGAACAUACCCAAUCCACGUUCGGUCAAAAAAGUGCCACAUUUUGUUACAACCCUAGGUACCUUUCCAACUCGUCUCACUUAUCCUGAAUUUUAGUCUAUGUAGAUGCUACUCUCUGGGAUUCGUAUCAAAAACACAGAGCUUCAAAACAAAGUGAAUGAAAACAGAACGAUAUCCAGAAAAGGGCAUUAGGGAUUGAUGGAAUGGAGGUGCAACCAUUCGGGGUUUCGAAUCAACAUCUUGACAAAUCAAAAGUCCAGGUAGCUAGCCAUGACAUAUCCCUUAAUAUGGUAAAGGAAUAUGAAUUCUGUUUCUUAUAUUGUUCUUGAUUAAAGUUUGUAAUGUAUGCCUUCUGUCUUCGAAGUAGGACUCUUUUUUGGUGUAGAUAUCGUUAUAUAUUUGACUCUAAAUGCCAGUAUGCCAUUAUUUGUCUUACUAUAUAUCCCAACUCAACUCAACGAAAACAAAAACAAGAAGAUAUCAGUAUCUCGCCAAAAAUAAAAUCAGAAUCUCUAUCCAUAUUGUUACUAUAAGUCUACAUGAGAGUCAUUCUAGUGAGGACUCUUAAGUUGAGGACUAGUUGAAGACUUUUCAGUUUAUGGUUUAAAAGACCAAUUUUUCGAUCACAUUUUAACAUCUCAUCCGUUCAGUUUUUAGGUUUAUAUGAGUAGAUAAUUUCAACAAAUUUUCAACCAAAUUGAUGUUCGUUAAGAUAACAAACUAGAUCAAAUUAAUAGACAAACCAAAUCUGUCAAAUAUGAACCGUUCAAGUUUAUAAUUGAUAAAUCACACUUAUGUAUGUCUUAACAAUUUGGGAAAAUGCCCAAAUAUCCAAAAACAGGGUUUUUAAAGCCCCUUUUAAUGAAAAUCUUAAUCACAUGCUCAUUUCAAUAAUUCUUAAGAAAAAACAUUAUUACCUUGUAUAACUAAACCCACACAAAUCUUCUCUCUCUCUCUCNNNNNNNNNNNNNNNNNNNNCUACUACUACUACUACUACUACUACUACUACUACUACUACUACUACUACUACUACUACUACUACUACUACUACUACUACUACUACUACUACUACUACUACUACUACUACUACUACUACUACUACUUACUACUACUACUACUACUACUACUACUACUACUACUACUACUACUACUACUACUACUACUACUACUACUACUACUACUACUACUACUCUCUACUCUCUCUCUCUCUCUCUCUCUCUCUCUCUCUCUCUCUCUCUCUCUCUCUCUCUCUCUCUCUCUCUCUCUCUCUCUCUCUCGACUGUCAUUGCCGUAGUCAUUAAGAUAUGGCAGACUACGGCAGCGUCAACAUCUCUCCGAAGUACGUGAUCGUGUCAACUCUCGGCAACACCCCAACCUCCAACGACCUCGCAUUGCUGCGGAUUUAAAUUCCGCCUCAGUUUGAGUCACGCUGGCGACGACGACAAGUAAUUGCGGCGGGAUCGAACCGGAGAGAGAAUUUCCUAAGAGAUGUAGGGUUAAGAGACUAUGAAAUUACUGGACGACUCAGGGAUCUCGCCGGUGAGGCAUCGAACAGAAGUUGAAGGCUAAGGAGCCUCCUUGUUCCAGCACGAAACUCCUCUCUAAUUGCAGCAACGUCUGAGCUUGUUUUAUUAAAUGGAGUUAGAUUGUUGGGAUCUGAGAAUUCUGGAGGAUUGAGGGUUCUUCGAGGACUUCUCAUGGCACUAUUUGGUGGUAAUUUACUCCUUUUUGUUUGUAAUGUUUGAUCAAUUAUAGUUUGAUCAACUUGCUUAACGACAAUGCUGCUCCAGUGGUGUCAAAUGUUAAGUUAUUCUUUGUAUGAUUAUUCUUUGGUUGUUAAACAAGAUUUUUUUUCCUCUUUUCAUCUUGUUCAUGAACUCAGCUUUCGACAAUAGCCUUUUUAGAGGUUAAUAAAUAUUUAUUGGAGGUUAAAAAACAUCUAUUGAGGGUAGUAAAUUACUUUUUAAUUAAUUAUUGGGGUCAAUAACUAAGUUAUUAGGAGUCAGUAACUGAUUAUUAAGGGUCAGUAACUGAUUAUUAGGGGUCAGUAACUGAUUAUUGGGGGUCAGUAAUUGAUUAUUGGGGAUCAGUAACCAAGUUACCGGUGACCGAAAUCCUGUGACUAGAGAAAAUCUGAGUUAUCUAGAGGUCAAUAACCAGAGACCGAAGAAAUUCCGGCAACCGGAGUCUAGCUACCGGUGACCGGAGUCUGAAGAACGGUGACCGGAGUCCCGCGACCGGUGACCAGAGUCCGGUGAGGUUCCAGCAAAGUCUUCUCACUCUUUCACUUUCUCUCUCCUUAUACAUGUUGAAGUAGUGAGAGUAAAAUUGUCUUGAUAAUAUACAAAAAUUAUUAUUUUAUUAUGACUUUUUAAUAUAUAUUUGUGUAUUUGGGCACAAAUAAGUACACCUUAUUAGGGAUGGCAAUGGGUAGGGUAGGGUACGGGGAUCAAAAUACCGUACACAUACCCUUUUACAUUUCUCAUCCUCGUACCCAUCCCCGUACCCGUAAUUAGAUAAUGGGGAUUCCCCGUACCCGUACCCGUACCCUUUGGGGAUUACGUUUCCAUACCGUUCCCGUACCCGUUAACAAUUAUGUAUUAAAUUAAUUUAAAAAAAAUGAAAUACAAUUAUAUAAAAGCAUGAAAUUAAAAUCAAAUACCAAAAUAAAUAAGUUUCAUUCCAAUAAAAAUAAAUACAAGUCUUGGUUAAAACAGAACAAUACCGGUAAAUUUCAUUAAGAGAAUAACAAUAUAUAAUAAAAAGGAAAGUCCAUUAAAUGUUUAUUAAGAGAAUCACAAAUUUUUUUACAUAAAUAUUUAUUUAUAAAUUAUAUAUAAUAAUAAAUUAUAUAAUUAUAUAUAAUAAUAUUUUCAUCUUUAAUGGGUGGAGAUGGAGACGAAUAUCAAAAUACCAUACCCGCCCCGUACCCGAUUUAAGAAUCCGAAUACUGGGGAUCUCCAUCCCCGUUACCCGUAUAUCUUCCCCGUUAGGGUCGAAUACCCGUGGGUACCCUACCCGCUGAGGAUUAUUGUCAUCCCUACACCUUAUAUUAGAAUGAGUUUAUGUCUAUUAAAUUCAUUGGAAUUGGCAAUAAGGGGUUUAAAUUAGUACUAAAUGGGCAUUUUCCCUAACAAUUUUCAAUAUAACUGAAAAUUUGGAGAAUUGAUCUACUCAUAAAUAUUUAUAAACUAAACGGUCAAGAUGUGGAUAUAAGAUCGAAAUGUGGGAUAAACCGAAAAGCCCUCGACAAGUCCUUAACUUAAAGGUCCUCAUUAAAAGGGCUUCAAGUCUUACAUAUACACACGUACAUUGAUACACACAAAUAUAUAAUGAUCUAGAGGGUGACAAAAACGGAUCCGUCGGAUCGUACCUCAUAAUUUCCAUAAAAACUCUCAAGUGUAAAUACUUUAGAUCUAGAUGUAUAUCAAUUUCUCUUUUUUACAUGCUGCCAAAUUAUAUUGUGUUACGUCGGUUAUUGGUAAUUGAAUCAGACACCAUGAUCGUCAUAAUAACUAGUUACCUCGAAUUCAACUUUGUAUAAAUUAGCAUUGACAUCAACAAUAAUGUCAAUAAUUAACUGAUCCCAUGCGAUCCAAACAUAUUGAUUCGACUAUAUUUGCCUAUAGCCUAUAAUGGCCAAUACACAAGCUAGAUUUAGUCAUUUUUACCAGUUUCAUCCAUUGUUGAAUUCGUUGGCGAUCGAUUUGUUGAUUCUCAUUGAUUUAAUGAUAAAUAUUUGGACGAUUUUAGUUUUCACCGGAAAAUAUCUCUCAUUUAGCUAGUUAUUAUAAUUUUAUAAUUUUUUGAACGUUUACGCAUGUUGUUUCAUUAGUGUAUAUAAUUUUCGUUACUUAUGCUUGAAAACACGAAAGAACCGAACCAGGGGGUUCCAUCAUAACAUUCUUGUGAAAACAAUGUUACCAUUGAGAUGACUAAAUUCAAACUAACUAUGUCUUUGCUCGUUUUGAAUGAACGAACUCCUUGCUAGCUACACCUGCAACGUGGAGACAUGAGAAGAAGAAGAACAACAAGAAUCUCAAUCUCCGAUGACAUGAGGCUAAUGGCCUAAUGCAAAUCUCAUGAUUCGGCAGCUCCAUCAUCAUCAACUCUGUUAGUUUAUACGAAUGUUGCCGUGGUCAACCCAUUUCUUUCCUCCCUUCUAUUUGUUUCCACGACUGGGUUUGUUCACAUCUCCUUACGGCGUGUCGUUUGUACUUGGCCAAGUAGUUGUGCCGGCGUCGGACGACUCAGAUCAUGAACUCCUUUUAAUAGUGUUUAGGGUUACCAACAAAAUUAGUCACGAAACUUAAAGGAAAAAAAAAAACUUAAAGAAAACCAAUGAUUAACAAGUGUAUGAUUGAAGAGAAUAAUUAUGGAGCUAUUAGAAGGGACGUGCUUACUGGUUAGAGACAACUAAACAACACAAAUAAAGAAGUGAGCUAAGUACGUCCCAAAUAUGUCUACUGACUGGUCAAUGAUUCUCUCUCUUUUGGUAUGUAGAAGAGCUAACUCUUGCUUGUUUUUUACGAGACUUGACAAUCCAAAUGGACCGUUCACAUGACACUAAUAUCAAAACUUUGUAAGAAAAUCUCUCAAGAAAUCUAUGAACAUCGAAUUCGAAAUUGACAUGACAAUCAUUGUAAAUGAACCUCUCUAACUACUAUGGUUGCAAGCAAUAGAUUUAUAAAUUUUCUCUUAAUGUAAAACGAUGCACGUCAACUUGUUUCCUUUGUGCUUCGUGUCAUAAGAUCAAUUUAGGACGAAAACAACUCGCUUCUCAAUUGAGAUAUUGAGGUCCAUAUGACUAGUGACAAAUCGAUAAUUUUUCUUCUUAAUUCUUUAAUUUAAAAUGGAUAAUGCGUCGCUUCUCAAUAGAGGUAUGACAUGCACUUGUACCUCAUGCGUUUAAGUUUUUUUUUUUUUUUUUUUUUUUUUGGGUAUAAACUACUCAAAUAAUACAAAGAGUCUAUUAUGAGUUGAACUCACAACUUCCCACCUAUAAAGAGGAGAUUAUGCCACUAAACCAAUUGAUGCUGAGCGGCGAUAAGUUGUUAAGCACAUCAUACUCUAAUUCACAUGUUUUAUUGAAGUUAAUUAUCAAAUUAUUGCACCAUCUACAAAAAAAAAGCCGAAUAUAUAUACUAUCACUGGUUUUAAAUGUGAUCCACGACGAUUUUGUUGAGCAUGUUGUGGAUUUUAUCAAAUCCCAUCGUAUCAUGAACACACUUUAAACCAUGAAUAUAAACACACUUUAGCUUCCUUUUGAUUAAUCUUUCAUAUCUUUGUAUAAUCGACGGAGCAUGCUUGCUACAUCUCUUUCUGUCCGAUCAAGUCUCGCACCAUUGCUUCUGAAAGCAACCUUUGCUUCCAUCUUCAUUUAGCGGGAACUUUGAACUCUCCCGCCGAAAGAGAAAGUACCCAAAACAAAUCAAGCUCAGUCAUUUUCACACCAUAUUAUUGACUAAUCUGUCCAUGUAGUUGUUUUCUAGCUAUGGCUGAAAAUUCCUUAGUCCACUAAUUUGGACACAGCACAUUAACCAUGUGCAUACGAAGCUUAUGAUAUAGGCAGCCAUGUGAGAAAACAGGUACAUUACCAAUAAGAAGUGCACCAUUUUAACCAAGUACACUAGAUUUCGCACCUAAAUUAGGUGACUAAAUUUGUCUUUUUUGAUGAGAAAUGAAAAAUUCAUUAACAAGGGAAAAACUCAAAUUACAAAACCUGCGCCAAGUACCUAUAGUCUAGUGGCAAAGUAUCCCCUCAUAUGUGAGAGGUAAUGAGUUUGACUAACAAUAGACUCGUUGUAGUAUCUCAGUUAUUUAAUUGAUAAAAAAAUAUAUAUAUAAAAACUUGUAAAUAUAAGACCUAAAAACUACAAAUAACAAAAAGCAUAAGUCUCAAACCCGAUCAAACUAAAAAAAUAUUUAAAAAAAUCAACAGCUCGCUAUACUAUAUAUCGAAGAAUACGUAAAUAAACUUUUAACUUGGAAGAAAUGAAUAAUUGCAUGCUCGCGCCGUUUGUUCCAUUUGGCUCUUAGCCUCGGACCCAAACUUUAAACAUGUGCUUAACGAAACGGUAAGUUGAAUGCAAUCUGCCAUAGCUAAAAGCCUAAAACUAGGUUAGCCAAUUUGUGGAGUUGAGGACGUGUGACAAAAUUAGAAUACAAGAACGAACAAGCAUAAGAACAAAAAAUACCGCCCACUUUUGUAUAUUCAAAUGAGGACAUGUCUGAAUUGAAAUUUAGUAUUGUUCGUUUUCUUGCUUAGCAAAUUGCAAGGGACAUGUCCACGACCUGUCUCGUAUUUUGAAAUUGAAUUAUACUUUACCAAAUAAUUGGCAUCCUCUAUAGUGGAAUAUUACCCACCUAGUCAUGUAUCAUUUUUGGGAUCAUAUUGUCUAGUUUAUAUUGCGUUUGCAUGUCCAAUUGUCUAUGUUUGUGUGCUUAAUUGCUUAUCUAUCUUCUUCUUCUUCUUUUUUGUAAAGUUAUGGUAGUGAAUGAGAUCCUUAAUUUCAUGAAAAUGAUCUUAAAUGGGUUUUUUUAAAAGUGCUUUUUAGCAAUAUGUAUAGUGCGAUGCCCCGAAACUAAAUGAUAUAUAGUACCAUUAGUACCAUAGUUUUAUCAAUACAAAUAAUAUCAUCUAACGCUACACUUUCCUUGUAACACAUAACGGGGACAUUCCAUUUGCUUUCGACGUGUUAUGGCCCCAUAGCCUUGAGGGAGUCCCAAGUUGAUCAAUCUGGGUUUUAUUUUGGUAGUGCGGACAAACUUGGAGAACAAAGAUCACCAUGAAAAACAAUAAUAAUCUUCCAAAUAAAUAUACGAAAUAAACAUGUCAUGACUUGAGAAAAGAAAAGAAAGCAGUGUGGAACUGUGGACUGUGAUUGAAGCAGCGAGUGGAGUGCAUGGUGGUGUGUGGGUCUUAGCUAAGGUUGUAAUCUUGAGAAGGAAGGGAUCUAAGUGUGUAUAUGUUACUCCAAUCAUAUAGUUAGGAGUUUGAGUCAUCCUUAAGCAUACUAUGGCAUUGUACUAUCAUUUCCUCUUUCGCCAUGCCAAUAGCAUUACACCAUUUUGUUUGCCUUUUGCCUUUACGUUUUCAUCAACUUUUCUCCCCCUUUCCUUAUAUCCUUGUAUCUCUCCACGGACGACGGUGCAUGGUCUCUCUUGUGGUGAAUCCUUUUUGAUCAUAUCUCCUUUUACUUACGUGAAAAAAUUGUUCAUGUUCGGGAUUUUUUUUUCGAAUCUCGAUCAAACUAGCUCAUUUGGUUCUAAUCGAGUAAUCGUAUAUAAAAUUUAAAGUCUGGUUGUUCGCGCGUUCAUCUAUUUGAUGCUAUUAUAUACAAUGAUGCAAGUACGCACAAGAAUCUAUUUAUAUCAAAAGGACAUAUAUACAUGCUGAAAGUCUGAAACAAUGGUGGCUCUGGCUCUGUGGCUCAUACUUCAUUAUUAUCCAUAUGUACUUCAUAAAUUAGAGCAGCAGCUUGAUCCAAGCAUGGUAAAGGCUCUUCACAAUUACUUGUAAACUAAAACUCACUAUAUUUAUUUAUUUUUCUUUCGGGGUGAAUCUUUCUCUAUAAAAGAUCCUAAAUGGAGAAACAAAUUUAGCUGAUCAAGUGAGCUAGUUCCUGUAACUUCUGUUUUGAUCGAUCAGCUUUGGUCAUGGUGGGUGGCUGUGGCUCAGACUUCAUCAAUGUUCAUCGACUGUACUUCAAACAUGGGCAGUAGUAGUAGUUCGAUGACUUCGAUCCAAGCAUGGACACGCAUCCUCCAUCAUCAAUCUAGUAAUUCAUAAUGAACAACCAGUGUAUUUGGUAGGAAGGAAAUUAAAGAGAGAUCGAAAAUCAUCACAGACUGUUGCAAAUUAUUAAUCAAAGAGAAUGACGCAGACUGUGCUUAUUGCAGAAUAACUACUACUACCACUCGAUCAAGGAGAGUAUUAAAUCACAUACAUGAUCGACCAAUAAGUACAAUGAAUUCCUUUUGGUAAAGCUAUAUCAUUUCAUAAAUACAUAAACCAAUAAAUCGAACUACUUUCCCAACUUUCACUAUCUGUUUAUCCUCAUCGAUCCGUACAAAAUUCCCAGAUUAGUAUUUCUGAGAGCAAGCUAGCUGUUCAUCAUGUGCAAUAUUGCUUAGCUUGACUAGUGUCGUAUAGCAAUGAGAUGGGCGUCUCGUUAAUCCAAUAUUAAACUAGCUCCCAGUAAUUAACUAGUUAAUUAACAGAGAUUAAGCUCUGUAUGGAAGUCCAGCUGUGUUUAGGAAAGCAUGCAUGCAAACUGUAAAGUGUGGUGACUGGUAAGAAUGUGCAAAUUAGUCUCGAGGAAGAUGGAGGCGGGUGAGAGUGAGAGAGAGAGAGAGAGAAUAACGAGGAACAUGUCACCUUGAUUAGCGCUCAAAGUAUGGGGUUUCUGUCUUAACCUUGUCGUUUGCCUUUUUUGAUUUGCAGUUUUGUGUUUGUAUGCGAUCUGUGUCUCUUAGCUCACUGAGUGAGAGUAUAGAAGAGUUUGUGUGAGAUUCUUCUUCCAACCAGUUUGACCAUCUGUCUGUUCUUCUGCACUAGCAGCUAUAUGAGCAUCCACACCAGUUUGACCGAUAAACCCUAGAUUGAUUAAUUAAACCCCACCCUUCCCCUGCAGAUCUGCAUGCCAUUGUCUCUCAGUGGAAACCAGACCACAACAAUCUCAAUCCUUAAUUACAGUUAAAGCUAAAUCUCAUUCUAAUUAUCCGUUAAAUAAAAUCAUUAAUGGUUGGUUGCAUCCGGGCCCUGGCAAGCUUUGUCACCUAAUCUCAGUACAAUCAUUAGAAAUUUUUUAUGUUGGAAGCCAAUAAUGAGAAAUUACUAAUCGGAUUGUGGCAAGCAGUCCAUCCCCGGAUCCACCUUGUUCCUCCUAUGAACAUGUUGGCUUUUACAAAUUGCUAUUUGCUGCACUGUGUAAAACUUGGGACAAUGAUGGACCACGGGUCACGGUUGCCCUUGUAUAACUAUUAUUUUCCCCGAUUAUCUUAAGUGUGGAUGCUAAAGUGUCGAAGCACGAAAAAUUUAUUUACCAAGUGCAAGUACUGGAAAUUUAUGAUACAUCCUUAUUAAUUUUUCUUAUUUUACCUGUGUUGAUGGUCAUCCCUCUUUUACUCAUGAUCACAUCAAUAUUAACAUUUUGAAAUAAAUUAAUAACUAAUCAGAUAAACGAGACUGCAACUGAUAAAGACAACCAUCACAAUUUUCAAGCAAGCAACUCGCUCAACACCACCAUGGGUUUAGUGAGGCGUCCAAUAAGACACAUACAUAUCGUAGCUUGCAGAGGCAAAUUAACAUAAACAUGUUAGGGCAACUGUUAAUUUCGCCAGAUACAUAUGACCACAAAUAAGGCUAAGAGCAAGUUCACCCGUUGAGUCAUUGUUGGGGGAUGACUUGGGUCAUAGGUGUGACCUGAGUCACUUUGGGUCAUUGAAACUAGGUAGCAGUUUCCACCCAUUGAUUAUAUUUCUAGGUCGCCACUUGGUAUUUACAGUAUUAUAUUUUAUGUUAGGUUUUUAAUUACAAAUCAUGAUUUUAGAUGUAAAUAAUUAGUAAAUAUUAAACAUGGUAUAUGAAUAUAUAACGUAAAUAAAGGUUAUUAUUAUUUAGAACAAUCACUAUGAAGUAGAAUUUUAUUUUAUGUGAAUGUUACAAAAAUGUAAAUAAGGGUUCCCACAUUAAUAUAUAUUUAUUUACCUUUAGUUAACUAGGAAAUACGGUAGUCAAAUACCUCCAAUGCUAAACACAAUUAUUGAUCCAAGUCAAUUGCAGGUGUGGGAGUGUGGGACGCACGCCCAUCAGCUUCAUUCAUUGGUUCGUGCAGCGACACGCGCUUUUGGGAGAGUGACAGCUAGCCCAGCAUGGCUCAAGUGGCCCUGUCGCUGAUGUCAGCCACGUUUUGGGGUUCGGCUAAUGCGGCUUGGAGUUAACCUGGGUCAUUAAUGUCAUGACUUGGGUCAUGGUGGUGACCUAAAGAGAUGAUCCAAUGAUAGUUGGGGUGAGAAAUUUUUCAUGCGUGGAAGCAAAAGAAUUUAGGCUGGGUCAUUGUGCCUAUGUGGCUCAUGACCUGGGUCAUAAAAUGUUAAACGAGUAGACUUGUUCUAAUGACAUGGAGAUUGAGUGACCGUUGAUGACGACCACCACAGUCGUCACGCAACGGGUUCAAGACCACCGUGGGUUUAGUGAGCUCCCAUUAAGUAAAUAGAAAACCAGCAUCGACAAAAUCAUAGCUCGUAGAGGCAUACAUAUUACAUUGAUCCUUUGUAACAAGCACUAAACAGUACAUUGAUAAAUAAGAUAUUAGAAGACUGUUGGGGCGGUUGCCAAUUUCGACAAAUGUAUGUGACCACAAAUAUGGCUAAUGGAGAUUGAAUUGAGGUGAAGAGGAUUGAUGAGGAUAAGGAAUACAUAUUUUAUUUUUACUAAUUGAAAUAAAAGAAAUUUUAUUUACACAUAUCUAAUCACUUAAUACACAUUCUCUCUAUUUUUGAAAGUUUUAAUUCCUCUUUUACACUGAUAAUUAAUAUAUGAUAAAGAAAAACAAAUUGUGUUCCAAUAAAUAAAAAAAACCAAAAUUUUCAAUUCGUAAACAUCAAACCCAGCAGAUCGAUAAAACUUUCUUUGCUUUUCCUAUUCUCAUUAUAUGUCUAGCAUAUCCUAUUUCUAAAAGUCUAAGUACAUAUGGUGGUGAAUAUAUAAUAUUAUAUAUAAAACAUUACCAUAGUAGUAUUGGAUAAGAAAUACAUAUUUUAUUUUUACUAAUUGAAAUAAAUCAUGAAAACAAACUAUUAGAUAAAACCUCAUACACACUUCCUUCAUUCAAAUUUUCAUACAUGAUGUGUGCAGAUACGUUAUAAAGUCAUGUCGUCCCCAUCUAUAUCUAAUGACUAAUGACCACCAUCUGUAUGUAAUAACCACAACAACACAACAUUAGAGAUGACCCGAAUUAUUUAUAUAUCAGGGCCCUUCCAAUGAGGGAUCUUUUUUUUUGUUUAUUUAUAGGGAUAGAUCAUUUGACGAACUUUUCGAUCACAAAAUCAAAUCUCCACCGUUCAGUUCAUUGGGCUAUAUGAGUAGAUCAUUUCUACAAAUUUUCAAAAAAUUUGAUAAUCGUUAAAUUAUCCAAAUGAGGGAUUUAUUUUUAAUAAUCUUGAACGGUGUAGGUUUGACAUAAGUGUUAAGUUUUUUGUUUUUUGUUUUAAUCUCAGCUAUCCAAGCCCAUUAAAAAACAGAUCUAAUGGUGUGNNNNNNNNNNNNNNNNNNNNGUACUAUCACUUAUGGAUCUACUAAUCUAAUAAUAACAAGAUUAUACUUAAAGGUUUUUUUUUUUUAUACGCAAGAUUAUACAAAUUUGUUUAAGCCAAUCAUCAGGUUGAUCGUUAAAUCGAUCAUUUGAUUCAGUAUGAAGCUUAUUGGAGAUGCCCAAUAAACCAAACACUGAUAAAUCACCUGAAUUCAGUCCUCUUCCCUAAGGUUAAAUUAUGAUCGAGCAAAGAUUGGAAAGAUUCGUAUCAGAAAAAGAUUAGAAACAUCUAAACCCAAGGCCAGCGGUCUUUUAUAGAGCCUAAAUCCAUAACCAUGAUAGAAAUUAAAGCCAAUACCACGUGGACUGUGGAAGGCUUAAACUCAAACUUAUGGGCUUGAUGAGCAAAACAGAAAAUGACUUGUGGGUUUGUUUUGGGCCUUUUGGGCCCCCGAGUAAUAAAAGUACAUUAGCCUUGAUUCUUCAUACAUAAUUAUAUAUUGCAUAAACCCAUCUAUGUCCUCAAAUUGUAUUAUUUUGCAGACAUGCUCACAUAGUCACAUGGAUUGCACUCGUACACAAUUAAGUGAUACAAUUUCUUUAAUUUAUAUUAACUUUAAAUUUUUUUUCUGAAAAGAUUUUCUUUUUGUUCAUAAUAAUAAAUAUUUUUAAAUUAAUUUAGGGGACCCAAAAUUAUCAAUUUUCCAAUUUUGGUGUGUGAAAAUCAAGGUUCUAAAAAACGUUGGGCGGUAGUCGGGCGGACAGCGCCCAAAAGAUUAAUCGGGGAUUAAUCGGAUUUGUAUUUUUGUAUUUAUUUUAUUUUUUAAUAACAAAUAAUUAUAUAAAUACAAUUAAAGUAGGCAUUAUAACGUCUAAAAAUAAUGAAAAAAACAACAUAUAAUGCUGAAAAUAAUAAAAAUACAUAACAUAUGUCCUUAAAAAUGUACUAACAACCAUGUUCUUACAAAAAUAAGAAAUACAAUUCAACAUUUCAACAACAAUGUCAUUGAAGCAAUUAAGAAACACAAUUAAACAACAAUGUCCUUCGGAAAAUCCGAAAAUAAAAAACACAAUUCACCAACUAGGCAACAAUGUCCAAAAAACAAUUCAAAUAAAGAAAAAUACAUUUUUGCAAGCUACUCCUCCAAUUCUUCUUCUCCAUAUCCUUCAAGUACUUCUUCGUUAUCGGAGUCAAACUCAAAAUCCAUAGUUUCUUCUUCCUCUUCAUCCAAAUCAAAAUCUUCUUCAAGUUCUCUUAUUUCUUGAAUCCUAGAACUUCUCCUAGGCUCAGCCACUGUCCACUCCUAAGUCAUUUCCAACCAUUUCAUUAGUGACAUCGGACAAAAUAUCCUCAUCACCACCAUCAACAAUCCAACCUUGUGCAUUAGUAGCUUCACUAGCAAGAAGAACAUCCUACAUUUUUCUCUUCUCUCUUUUCUUUUUGUUGAGAAUCUUGGCAUUGAAUUGGACAUAGACUAAAUUGUUUAACCUUGUUGCAUCAAGUCUAUUUCUUUUCUUUGUAUGAAUCUAAAUUAAGAAUAAAAAAGAGAGUAAAUUAUCAUAAAAAAAGUGAGUAAAUUAUCAUAAAAAAAGAGAGUAACUAUAUAUAUAAAUUAAGCAAAUAAUUACCCCCUCAAAAGCACUCCAAUUCCUUUCACAUCCGGAUGAACUUGUUGUCAAACCAAGUAUUCUUUUAGCCAAAGUUUGCAAAUUUGGUACUUGAUUUCCAUAAAUAUUCCACCAACCAACUACAAACACAUAGAAAGCCAAUAACAUUAUAAUUAGUCAAAAAUACAAAAGCAAAACAAAUAAACAAUACUAAUGACAAAAUAAAAAAUUUACGAAGUUUUCUUACCCGGAUUAUAAUUUUCAUUAUCUUGUGAGCAUCCCUUCAAAGCGAUAGGUUUUCCAAAUGAACCCUCUUAUUUCUUCAAGUACUUGUGCAAUUCUACAUUUGUCACCUUAUCUUGAAUGUCAAGAUCAUCACCAAAGAACUUCUCUACACAUUCAAUAAACCCAUCCAUGACAACUCCAUCAUUUAUAAUGCUUGGAUCAAAAUAUGUGUAAUAAGGGUUCAAGAGGUAUCCCGCUAAAUGCAAUGGACUAUCAAGUCGUUCACGGGCUUUCUCAUCAACAAUGUCAAGGAUUGGACGAUAGUGAGCUUCUUGAUUUUUGUAUGUCUUCUUAAUCUCUUCUCUAGCUUUUUGUUGCUCUCCAUACACAAAACCCAUUGAUGGCUUCCGAUCCCCAUCAACAAGGCGAAGCACCUUGACUAAAGGGGCAAAAACCUUCAAGCAAAGAUUUACUCCAUUCCAAAAAGAAGGACUCAAAGCAAUACUCGCAGCUGCCUUCCCCUUUGCACUCUUUGCAUGCUUGCUUUCACUCCACUCACCAUUAGUAAUCAUAGAUCUCAAUUCAGUCUUCUUCUCCAUUAAGCUUUGUAAAGUAAGGAAAGCGGUUGCAAAUCUUGUGACUCCCGACCUCACUAUGUCUCUUUUCUUUGUAUACUUUCUCAUCAAGUGCAAAGUCUUGUGAUGUGCAUAAAUGUAGAUGGUGAAACUCUUUGCCUUGUCAAUCACAUUCUUGAAUUUAGGUUGGGUGCCAAUUCCUUGAAGCAUAAGAUUGAUAGUGUGAGUUGCACAAGAAGUCCAAAAUAUUGUUGGCCUCUUCAACUUUAACAAAUCUCCCGCCGCCAUGUUGUUCGAAGCAUUAUCCGUCACCACUUGAACAACAUUUUGUGGCCCAAUUUCUUCAAUGCACUUGUCCACAUAUUCAAAAAUAUAUUUUCCGGUGUGUGACUCAUCCGAUGCUUCCUUAGAAGAAAGAAAGGUUGUCCCUUCCGCACAAUUAACACACAAGUUCAUGAUACUUCUUCUUUUCCGGUCACUCCAUGCAUCGGUCAUGAUAGAGCAACCAUUCUUUGCCCACUCCUCUUCUUGCCUCUUUAAUAAGCCCUUAGUUCUCUCCACCUCUUCCUUCAACAAUGGCUCCCUUAAUUGGUAUUGGGUUGGUGGUUUGUAACUCGGGCCAAAUUGCCCAACCGCUUCCACAAACCUUUUGAAGCUAUCAUUCUCAAUGGCAUGGAAAUGAAGGCCGGCUUCAUACACCCAUCUAGCCAAAUAUUGAUGCACAUUAUGUGUUCUUUCCUUGAAAAGUGAAUCAUUGAUAUUUUGUUGCUUCAUCUUCUUGCUUCCAUCCAAUGAAGAAUCGGGAUCAAUGGCGGAUGCAUAACGGUCCAUAGGUCCAAGAAAGCGCCUCUUUCUUCUUGUCUCAUGACUUGAUCCAUCCUCUUCCCUUUCAUCUUCUUCAAUAUCAACUUCUUGCCUCAAUUCUUCUUCAAAGAGAAUCUUUUGCCUCUUCUUGUUUCGCCCAUCUUCAAUAGCUUUGAUACAUUUGGCUUUGUCCUCAUCCGAACUCUUCUUACAACCGUGAACAUUCCCCUUGAUGUUUGCAAUGUGCUGUUUGAUUCGAUUUAUUCCACCACUUACUACUUUAUUACACAACAAACACUUCAAUCUAUCUGGAUUUGUAGGAUUAGCAUACACUGCAUAUUCCCAACCGAUAUCAGUUGAAUUAGCUUUCAACUCCUUUGAGACUGACCUAUUCUGGCUAUUCAGGUCCGGAACUAGAUUAGAUGCAGAGGAAGAAGUAGUGCCUGCCAUAUUUGCCUGUAUAUAUUUUGUAAUCAAUCACAGACUCACAGUUCACAGAUUCAGCAACUCAGCAAUUCAAUUACUCAGCCUAACAACAGCAGCAACUCAGCAACUUAGCAAUUACCAAAUUCAAUGAACAUUGGUAAACAACUAAACAUAUUAUCAAAUAGACAAAUACCAAGUUCAUCACUCAUCAUUCAUUCAUUCAUCAGUCAUCAGUCAUCAAUCAUCAUUCAUCAAUUACACAGUUGACAGUUACCAAUUACCAAUUACUCAACUAGUCAAUUACCAAGUUCAAAUUCAAUGAACUAACCUCAAGAGUGAAGACGUCAAGUCGUGCCGGGACUGGGAAUCUGGGAUGAGCGCACUUUGUCGUUGUGCGAUGCCGCUUGCCGCCUUGCGUCGCCGACUGAGAGAGGAGAGACCGAGAGACAGAUGAGAGAUGAAGAGAAUAGAGAAUAGAGACAGAGAGAGGAGAGACCGAGAGACAGAGGAGGGACGAGAGAGGAGAGAAUAGAGACAUAGAGAGGACUAGAGGAGAGACCGAGAGACAGACAGAGGAGGGAGAGAGAGGAGAGAANNNNNNNNNNNNNNNNNNNNNNNNNNNNNNNNNNNNNNNNNNNNNNNNNNNNNNNNNNNNNNNNNNNNNNNNNNNNNNNNNNNNNNNNNNNNNNNNNNNNNNNNNNNNNNNNNNNNNNNNNNNNNNNNNNNNNNNNNNNNNNNNNNNNNNNNNNNNNNNNNNNNNNNNNNNNNNNNNNNNNNNNNNNNNNNNNNNNNNNNNNNNNNNNNNNNNNNNNNNNNNNNNNNNNNNNNNNNNNNNNNNNNNNNNNNNNNNNNNNNNNNNNNNNNNNNNNNNNNNNNNNNNNNNNNNNNNNNNNNNNNNNNNNNNNNNNNNNNNNNNNNNNNNNNNNNNNNNNNNNNNNNNNNNNNNNNNNNNNNNNNNNNNNNNNNNNNNNNNNNNNNNNNNNNNNNNNNNNNNNNNNNNNNNNNNNNNNNNNNNNNNNNNNNNNNNNNNNNNNNNNNNNNNNNNNNNNNNNNNNNNNNNNNNNNNNNNNNNNNNNNNNNNNNNNNNNNNNNNNNNNNNNNNNNNNNNNNNNNNNNNNNNNNNNNNNNNNNNNNNNNNNNNNNNNNNNNNNNNNNNNNNNNNNNNNNNNNNNNNNNNNNNNNNNNNNNNNNNNNNNNNNNNNNNNNNNNNNNNNNNNNNNNNNNNNNNNNNNNNNNNNNNNNNNNNNNNNNNNNNNNNNNNNNNNNNNNNNNNNNNNNNNNNNNNNNNNNNNNNNNNNNNNNNNNNNNNNNNNNNNNNNNNNNNNNNNNNNNNNNNNNNNNNNNNNNNNNNNNNNNNNNNNNNNNNNNNNNNNNNNNNNNNNNNNNNNNNNNNNNNNNNNNNNNNNNNNNNNNNNNNNNNNNNNNNNNNNNNNNNNNNNNNNNNNNNNNNNNNNNNNNNNNNNNNNNCCGCCCAGCCGCCUAGGCGGCCAAAAAACGGCUGGCCGCCUAAACUCGCCAAUUUGACUAAAAUCGGGACGGCAACCAUUCUCCGGACGCCCAGACGGCGCCUAGGCGGCCGCCUAGACCGUUUUUUAGAACCUUGGUGAAAAUGAACUGGCAAUGCAGCAAAAGGAUGGCAACAGAGACGGAGGAUGGUGCAUGCUUAUCCGUAGCCCAGACAACUUUCUUCAUCCUUUCAAUUUAAUUAAGCUUAAUUAUCUUAAAAUCUACAUAUGUAGCUAAUUAACUUAGCCCAGUCUAUUAUACAACCCAUGUCAUAAUUACAAAAGAAUUCAAAGCUUUAUUUCAUCAUGUCACACACUGCCACCUAAAUUAAUGCAAAAAUCUUAUUCAUACUGUUCAUCCAAAAAAAAAUCACAUUAAAAUUUUAUAAUAAUAGCCCAUAGAAAUUAGAGUUAACUGUAUUUUUUGAUUUUCUGGAACAGGCAACCUAUUUAACUCAACCAAUGGAGUCUAUCUAACACUAAAUUAUUAACCAACUACUGUAUUAUUAGACUCGAUUAAUCAAUCAUCAUUCUUCUAUAUUUUGAAAUUUUUAUCAAACGAAAGUUUAGCCGAGUCUACUUUGAAAUCCUGGCUUUGUUC